AGAUUGUGGGUUUGUCUAUUUUAGGGUUUGUGAGUUAUGAGGUUGUAGAUUUGUAUUCGGGAUUUAGGAUACAAUGUUAGAGGUUUAGAGUUUAAUUUUUAAGGUUUAGAAUCUGAGUUUAUCAUACGUUUUAGAAAAUUGAGGUUUUAUCAUAUUAAACCUUUCAAAUAAUAUCCAAAUGAAGUUUAUAAUAUUUUUUUAGGGUUUUGUGAAUGUAUGUGCUUUCGAUCAUAUAAAAAUUAGAUUGGAUUUCUAGUUAUUUCCCACCACAAGCAAUCAUCCAUGUGGAAAAUAAGUCAAAUUGAAAAUUUUCAACACUAAUAUAACAUCAAGUAAACUUAAUUUUUAACUUAAUUUUACCAUUAUUUAUAGGGGUUACCACAGUGAAACUUGAUUUUUUUAGUUAUUUCCAAUGUGCAUGUUAAAUAUUAGUCGAUUUGAAAUUUUUGAAAUUUUCUUGGUUUUGAUUGUUGGUGUUAGUGGAGAUGAAUGUGUUUUCGAUUAUAAAAAUUUUAGAUUGGAUUUCUAAUUGUUUCCCACCACAUAUUGUUAGGUAUGAAUUUAUAACUUUGUCAACAUAUAGCCCCUUAUUAAAAUAACAACAAAGGCAACAGAAGAACCACAAGGAGCGAUAUCGUUGGUUGCUCACAACCAUGAGGUUAGGUUCUAUCCUGAACCAGUGGCCCAUCUAGUUAGUAGCCCUCUCUAAGUCACAGCCAAUCCAUUUCUAAGUCUAGAGCUUCAAUAGUACAUAAUCUUCUUUAUAUUUUGAGAUGAAUUAGUACCUACAUCUUUUAUAUAUAGUCUAGCCAAUCCAAUUCAGUUCUAUAUAAUAACCAAUCCAGUAUUAAAUUAAACCAUUUUGAAUGCCCGAUGUCCUAAUUUAGUGCUUGACACAGCAAACGUGGAAGCCUAAAUUAUUUCUUACUUUUUCUUCAUAUGACUUUAGUCUAAGUGCUUUCCUCUCUGCUUUUUAAGUUCCAACUCAAAUACGUCAAUUACUUAACAAAUGCAGAGAGCAUUAACACGUUCUAAAAAUGUAUACCAUUAUUGAACAAACUAUACAAUGCAAUGCAAAAGCAACUACUUGUACGUAAUGAUGAAGACAACAAAUCAAAAUAAUAUUGACACAACAGUGCAGCAGCCGUACCUCUUUUGAUCUUCACUGCUUUCCUCAUCAGCAAAAGUUUCAGAAAGAAACAAUGAUUAAUGGGAAACAAUGAUUAAUGGGAAAAACAACCAACGGUUGUAAAUUUGGGUGAUGCCAUUGGUCCUUUAGCUACUGACUUGAUCUGCAAAAAGGACCAGUUAGAGAUAGCCUUUCUUUUCACUCUUUAGUGUAUGAUCUUACUCAGCUUGACCCCAUGCAUGCUCAUGUUCUGUCUUUACAUGGAAAAAACCACUUCUUCAGAGUUUUUGCUGGUUUUGGAGAUGGAAUUAUCAGCUUUCAUCAUUGGUUUUGUGUGUCUCGCUAUAAAGAAACAAAACUGUAAGUGGGAUGGUGAUUCAGAAGAGACUGGAAGCAGAGAUAACAGAAUGGCCACCUCCUAUAUCAGUCCUGCAGACCACACAUGCAGGCGUCAUCAAGGUUCUGAUCGUUAUGCUAAUCGUUAAUCUAAUUACAAGCGGAAUUGUUCAGUUAGUAGAGAUGUGUAUUGUUAACCUAGAGAUAUUGUUUGAAUCAUCACAAUGAUAAAUGUACACUCAUCCAAUGUUUGUCCCGAUCUGCGUGAUCCCUGGCAGGCCACGUUAGCUAUUUUAGAGAUCUACUUGGUGCUUUCGAUGUGGAGUACUUGACAAGAUAUUGAAAGGACAUGAAAUUGGUGCUUUUCAAGAUAUUACGACAGAGCACUUGCUAUGUGGCAGGUGGCUGCUUGCGAAAACCUUGCCCCACUCAACGUGAGACAAGAAUUUUAAUUGAGAAAAAUUAAUAAUUUUAAACUAUGUGAAUUGUCAACAAAUUAAACCAGAAUACCAUCAACUUGUAACUUAAUGAACCUCCAACUCCGAUGAACCCGCCCGACUAACCUGAUAUGUGACCUGCUUAACCCACCCGUUUGACAACUUGGCAGAAAUAUUUUCCAUUUUGGCGGCAUUGUUCUUGUUUUGCAGGUGCAGGUUAUCUGACGUGGCCCUAAUAGAGCUGCACCUAAAAUAGUGGGACAUGCUCUCUCAUAUAUUCAUAAAUUUGCGAGUAUUUGUUGUCUCGAUUCCUACCAUCGGAGGGUUCAUGUCAUCCCGCUGUCUAGAAUCAGCAUAACUUGUGUGUUGUCUAAAGCCCCUCUGAGAGACAACUAUGGUGCUCAUAUAUGUUAACAGUACUAAAGCAAUGAACGGGAAAGAUCGGCAUAUGUAGCUUUCUUUAUAGGUUACAACCUAGCUAAGCCAAUGGCUAUACAUCAAACCAAGCCCUCAUGUUCACCGUACAAAUCAUGGUACUCAAAGACACUCAAAUCAUGGGAGUACAAAUCACAAGUGGCCAAGCUGCUGAAGAUUCCAUCUUGUUGCACUAUCAGAGAACUUGCAGUAAUGUCAGUGGAACCUUGUUCUUUCUUCAAUGCUUUCUUUCAGCCAGCCACCAUUGAAACAUAUUCCAGUUUUUUCUCCUUGGCAACUUCAUCGAACACUCUAUAACAAUCAUCGAUCCUUUCGUCACGGGUGGUUAGACAAAAUGAUAAACGACUGACGACAAGGUGUACUUCAUUUUCAUUUUCAUGAGUAAAGAUCAAACUCCUGACCUGAUGAUUAUAGAAAAAGUGAGCAAUCAAAAUUUUAAACCAUAUAGAACAGAGUUUCAGGCCUAGCUAUGUGGUUGGGCUUUAAGCCAAGCUACUCAGGCCGAUUAGAGCUUUAGGCCUAGCUAUGCGGAUCAGACAGGCCUGUGCGGUUGGGCUUUUGUGGACUUUUCUUUGCAGAUCAGGCUUUUUUGGAUGGGGACUUCUACACCUUCCAAGAGUACCAAGCGAUAACUUAACAAGGGUAUAGCUUGGGAGAAAUUAAGGAAGGUGAGUGUCUGAAUAUAAUAUACGUAAUUUUUUAUGAAUAUUAUUGCUGAUAUGUUAGGUAAUAUGGAGAUUUAUUAGUGUUAUAAAUUAUAUUCAUGGCAUAAAAGAUUGAAUCCAUUUAUAUUUAUUGUGAACACAAUUACGCAGCAAAUUAUAGUUUAUUAGUAUUGGCAUGACUCGUGAGAUGGAUGCCAUUUAAUGUGUAUAGUUUUUCGAUCUAUAAUUCAUUGAUGAUAUAUUGGUUGCACAUAAUGUAUUUGAUGUUUUUGAGAAAAUUAAGAAAACUAUUAUAGGCGACUACUUGUUAUUUAAUGAGCUUUACUUCAAGUAAAAAAGCGGCACUAAGCUAUAAAGUAUAAACUGACGGCAGGAUUUAAUUUUAAACAAAAAUCAAGACCAAAGGUAAUUAAUGUGUUAAAUUUAGAAUAAUUAAUGAUUAAAAUAUGUGGAAAAGUUGAGAAGAUUGGCCAUUGAGUCAUCUCUCGUUAAGAAAACGAUUGAUUUUGACGGCUUUGUGUCAAUGUUUGUUCUUUUAACUUAAUCAAUAUCUCAUCGAUGUCAUCUACAAAUUCUAAAUUUUAAAAGAUCUCCUCUACCAAACAAAAAAUUAAGAAAUGUUUCAACUCUUAACAUCUACAUUUUAGUAUUUCAUACUCAAUAUCAGUAAGUUAGUCUGCCUUCAUGAUAAACAUGAUUUUUGACACCCUCCUCAUCAACUCAUACAUGUGAUUCACAAAACUAGCAAGAGUAUAGGUGAAUCGCUCAUGUCUCAUAGCGUAUCAACUACAAUACGCAACAGGAGUGGAGCUACAUUUGUACUCCUCGGUAUCCUCUCUCCCAAGCUAUAUUAAAGCCAUCAAUCGGCCCUUAACUUUGCCCGGGUGAUCGAACACACAAAUAAUUUAAUGGUACAUCUUAUAAAUUGAAGUUACCCGUUGAUAUUAAACUUUACAUCUAUCGAGUUUUAUGUAGAGAUCCAUGAUUUUGUUAGUUUUGGGCACAAACUUAAUGCUUUAAACUAUAUUUAUAUGCUUUUUCUAUUUUAAAUCCAUUGUUGACGUAUUAAUCACGUUUUGAUAUAUUUAGUGUUAUGAAAAUAAAUUGAUUGUAAAUUAAACGUGGCUAAGGUUUUCCCUUUAUAAAUGUCAUUUUCAGUUAUUAUUAUUAUUAUUAUUAUAUUGCAAUUUAUGAUUCUAAUUUCAUAUCCCCUUUGAUCAAAUAUGUUGCUCUCCUUCUACAAAUAUUUGUACACUUUUAAGGCUUUUAUAAUGCAAUUAUGAUAUUUUUUCCUUCCUAUAGUUCAUUGGUCUUUCUCUAUGACCAUCUCCACCAUCAGCUGGUUAAUUCUUAUUCCGAAAGAAUGAUGUACACCAGAUGAAUUAUCAACUAUUUUUUAACCGUUACAUUGUAAUAAAAGAAAAAUAAGUACAAAUCCUAAUUCUUAUAUAUCAAACUUAGAUUCACGUCCUACUAAACCGAUAUUGCACAUAUUGAAAGAAUCAUUAUUUCUAGACCGCGCGCCAAUUAUUCCGCAAACUUUGAUAUACAUUUCAUCAUGCUUCAAAGUCCAACAUUAUAAGCUCGGGACUAAACGGUUUAAUACGGGUUUAUUACAAAAUUUUGGAACGGCAAGGAAAUAUUGUAGGUAGGUUUCAUAGGUUAGGUUGGAUGAUCGAUUAAUUAGAAGUCAUUAGAUAUGCAAACUCCUUCAAAGCAUUGGCAGCAAACUUUGACCAGUCAACUGGAGUUUGUGAAGUCUUUUGUAUUCCCAGGUGCCAGGUGGCAACGUACUUCAACCGUAUUAGUUGGUAUUCUACAAGUACAAUAUUAUAACCUAAAUACCCCGUUGAAAAUGUCGGUCCAACAUAUGCUAUUUUUUGAAGUUAAANNNNNNNNNNNNNNNNNNNNNNNNNNNNNNNNNNNNNNNNNNNNNNNNNNNNNNNNNNNNNNNNNNNNNNNNNNNNNNNNNNNNNNNNNNNNNNNNNNNNNNNNNNNNNNNNNNNNNNNNNNNNNNNNNNNNNNNNNNNNNNNNNNNNNNNNNNNNNNNNNNNNNNNNNNNNNNNNNNNNNNNNNNNNNNNNNNNNNNNNNNNNNNNNNNNNNNNNNNNNNNNNNNNNNNNNNNNNNNNNNNNNNNNNNNNNNNNNNNNNNNNNNNNNNNNNNNNNNNNNNNNNNNNNNNNNNNNNNNNNNNNNNNNNNNNNNNNNNNNNNNNNNNNNNNNNNNNNNNNNNNNNNNNNNNNNNNNNNNNNNNNNNNNNNNNNNNNNNNNNNNNNNNNNNNNNNNNNNNNNNNNNNNNNNNNNNNNNNNNNNNNNNNNNNNNNNNNNNNNNNNNNNNNNNNNNNNNNNNNNNNNNNNNNNNNNNNNNNNNNNNNNNNNNNNNNNNNNNNNNNNNNNNNNNNNNNNNNNNNNNNNNNNNNNNNNNNNNNNNNNNNNNNNNNNNNNNNNNNNNNNNNNNNNNNNNNNNNNNNNNNNNNNNNNNNNNNNNNNNNNNNNNNNNNNNNNNNNNNNNNNNNNNNNNNNNNNNNNNNNNNNNNNNNNNNNNNNNNNNNNNNNNNNNNNNNNNNNNNNNNNNNNNNNNNNNNNNNNNNNNNNNNNNNNNNNNNNNNNNNNNNNNNNNNNNNNNNNNNNNNNNNNNNNNNNNNNNNNNNNNNNNNNNNNNNNNNNNNNNNNNNNNNNNNNNNNNNNNNNNNNNNNNNNNNNNNNNNNNNNNNNNNNNNNNNNNNNNNNNNNNNNNNNNNNNNNNNNNNNNNNNNNNNNNNNNNNNNNNNNNNNNNNNNNNNNNNNNNNNNNNNNNNNNNNNNNNNNNNNNNNNNNNNNNNNNNNNNNNNNNNNNNNNNNNNNNNNNNNNNNNNNNNNNNNNNNNNNNNNNNNNNNNNNNNNNNNNNNNNNNNNNNNNNNNNNNNNNNNNNNNNNNNNNNNNNNNNNNNNNNNUCAACCAAAAAUAGAUAUGGACGAAUCUAAUUUUUAAAAGAUGUACAUUUCAAUAAGUAAAAUGUAUUUAUAUUAACACAUAUAAACACAUUCGGUAUGGAAGUGAACUUCAAGGGGCAAUCCACGACUUACAUCUUGUUUAGGAUAUGGAUUGUAAAAGGGGCCAUUUGUAACUUGACUCGAUUGUUGAUGUCGAUUUUUUUACUAAUGAUAGGGCGACCAAUAUUCGACAUCAUCGACGCACCGAAAAAGUCAAGGAAUUUUUAAAUUGUAACUCAUAAGUUCGUAUUUCACAUUUUUUUUAUAAAAAAAAACCGCACUGCAGAUCUCCUUACUCAUCAAUCACCAUGAUCUCCUUACUCAUCAAUCUCAAUUGGAACCCAACAUAUAAUUGUGCCAACUCAAUAACUCCACUAGGACUAAUUUCGUUAUUAAUCAAAACUGGAAAAAAAUAUGGUGUCAUUUUGAGCAAUUGGACAAAAACUACAAAAGCAUACCUUUGAAUUCAUGAAAAUUACAGAUUGACCCACACUUUGUUCUGCCGUGCCUUAUAAAACUGAAUCACUCCUUUCUCCCCCAAAAGAAUAAUCUCUCAAAUCACUCCUUUUCUUUCCUCUCCCAUCCCAUCCCCUCCUCUGUAAAAGAAAGAAGAAAAGCUUCCAACUUUCUUUCCCCAUUUCCACAGCACAGAAGAUCAGAUAACGACCCAUAACUUCAAAAUUUAAAAAGCUCCUCACAAACAUGGCUUUCACCUCUCCCCACUCCUCCAAUUCCUUCCACAUUGUCCUCAAAAUCCCCACCACCACCUCCCUGUACUUGUAACAUACCACUGAUCACAAAAACCAGACCAAAACGCUCUCACUCUGUUUUCUUCCCCCAAUCAUCAAUGGCGAGCGAAACACUCUCCGGAGGCAGCGGCGGCUUCGACCACCUCCCUUAUUGGAUCCCGUCCAUCUCCACCAGUCUCUACGGUGAAAUUUCACUACCCUCUGUUUUCUCACGCCAAUCCUCUGUUUUUUCAGGCCGAUCCUCUGUUUUUUUUCUUCUAAUUCUGGUUAGUUUGUAUUCUUUCGUUUUGGGAAUUUCAGGGGCGGCGGCGAGGCAGAUGGUGGAAUACGAAAAUGAUGGGACUUUCUUCAAUCCAAUGGUGAAAGAAGAGCUCUGCUGCGACGAGGAUUUCGAAAACAGUUCGAGCCCUCGAUGCAAGAAGCGGCGGCUGACGGCGAGUCAGGUUCAGUUCCUGGAACGGAGCUUCAAGAACGAGAACAAGCUCGAACCGGAGAGGAAGAUCCAGCUCGCUAACGAGAUCGGAUUGCAGCCACGUCAGGUCGCAAUUUGGUUCCAGAACCGCCGGGCUCGGUUCAAGAACAAGCAGCUGGAGAAGGAUUUCGAUUCCCUCAAGUCCGAUUUCGACCGGCUCAAGUCCGAUUACAGCUCCCUCCUCCACGAGAAGGAAUCCCUCAGAAACCAGGUAAAUAAAAUUGAAAUCAAUCGGGGCCGUUGGAUCAGAGGGCUAAUUAGUAAUUUCUGCUGCUGAAUGAAAUUAUUCCGCCUGCAGGUGAAUUCCCUAAAGGAGAAACUGACGGCGAGGGAGAUCAAAGCGCGCGAAACGACGCCGUUUCGGGUUCCGGCGGCGAUUGUGCCGCCCAUGGCGAAGAGCGAUUUGGUGGAUUCGGACAGCCCGCAUUCAGUGCUAAUCGAGCCAUCGUCUCAAUCGCAUUAUGUCUUUGAGGAGAAUCAGUCAGAUUAUUUCUCCCAGGACGAAGCGGAUGAUCAUCAGAAUAGUUUGAUAAUGAUGAACAACAAUAGGUUUAUGAUGGCUGCUGCUGAAUCGAUAUCGUUUGACAGAUUCAGCAGCAACGAACACGACAACAAUAACAACAACCUACUUCCAGAGUUUCCAGUGGAGGAAGAUCAGCCCUAUUUGGUGCUGGAUUUGAUGAACUGGAUGUAAGAAAAAAACAAAAUUUCCCGUCCAGAGCAGAGUUUCCCGGAGACUAUUUGAAGAACACCGUACAGCAAUCGAUCAGUGUCCAGUUUAGAAAGAUUUCCUUGUAAAAAAGUGUAAUUGGAUUUGGCCCUUCUCGUGGAAGCGGAAGUUGCCCGGGGUGCGUGGCGAAAAUGAAGGGUUUACUCAGAUCAGAGAUGUAGAAGUAAUUUCAUGGCUAAGUUGUUGCUCUGCUUUUGAGUUCCCUUUUGUAAAGAAAAAAAAACAGGGGAAGCUUGUAAUCAAGAUGGGCUUCCCCUUCUGAAUAAGCAAUCAUAAAAAUGUGUUUGUGGAAAAGUCUAUGGGGUUUGUGUUUGAAGGUUUACUUGACAUUGCGAUAGGUCGUUAAUCCGAGUUGUGAGAAGAGAUUCGUAAUCGGUUUUAAUAAUGUUAUUUUGGAAAUUCAGAAAAGAAGAAUGAGGUUUCCACAAGUUCAUCAGAGAUUGUACAAAUGAAAUUGUUAUUAUUUCAAGACUAAGAUUGAUGGAUUUAACACUCAAACGUUUUGUUUAGAAGUUUAUUCCACAUUAAAAAAUCAUGUUAUUGGGAGAGGUUGAUAAUUGCUUUAUAAAACAUUAUUUGAUGACAAUGUAGCUACAUUUCUUUAGUGACAAUGUUAUGAGCAACUAGACCUUACAAAGAAUGAUGAACUCUUUAAAUGAGCCAAAGUGUGGUUGUUGUACUCGGCCUAAUCUCAUUGGUCUUGUGAUUAUAGUUGGGUUAUAAAACAUUCUUUAACGAAUAAUUCUAUAUUUCACUUGUCAAAAUUUUGUUUCAAUUGACUAACGAGAAUGGUGAACUCUUUAAAUGAGCCAAGACAUGGUUGUUCAAUUCGGUCAGAUUUACAAAUUCAUAUUGUUCUUCUUGUGUGGAGAUGCUCAUUUUGGUGUGUAAAUAAGCUCGAUUACUUGACUCGUAAAUUGAUGCAACCUUGUUAGUUCAUUAAUCAAGUAACCUAUAUAUAGUAUGUUUAUUGUUUGUAAGAGAGAAAUUUUGAAGCAAAAGCCGUUCAUGGGAUGCACAUGAUUAGUUAACUUCGCUAAAUACCAACGAGAAAUUAAGUUAAUUAUUUAUAUAUAUAUAGUGAUUUCAAAUUUCUUUGAGUGUGAUUGAUAUCAACUGAUUGAGAACUAGAGAGCAUAUGGAGGAGCUUAAAACAAUCUGUCGAGCCGAACCCCCACCAGCCAACACAACUCGUAAGCUAUGACAAAAAAUUAAAAACCAAUUAGUGUAUAAUUGUGAAAUACCAGGAAUUUGUGUAUUAUGUUACUUACUAAUUAGCUCUCAUAAGCUAUGGUACUUUGGGUUUGAUAGGUGUGUGGAAUGAUUUGAAGUUAUUUUUUUUUACAUAAGCAAUCUCAGCACAUCUUAUUAAUGUUGUGCCGAAAGGUACAUUGCUGGUGUAAUAUUAAUAAGCAACUUAGGAGGUGCAUAACUCACAGACGGGUUUACAUGAAAACGAGAUCGUCGCGCUAACUCGUGAGCGAUCACAUUCUGAACUCUCCUAACAAACUGAAAACUGAACCCCUCCCAAACCUGCAAGAUACACUUACAUUUAUCAAUGAUUUCCCCAAAAUCAGUAAAAUCUACAUUAUUACUUUUCAAAGUAUGUAUCACCAAUUCAAAAUCACUCUCAAAGAAAUUCAGUAAAGUAUACGUUAUUACUUUUCAAAGCAUGCAUCACCAAUUCAGAAUCACCCUCAAAGAUCACAUGUUCAUGACCCAUUGAACUCGCCCUACGCAGACUUUACUAAAUUUCUUCAUGCCCCGGUUUAUAGUGUUCUGAUUUAUCAAUCAAUCUUUCCACAUAUAGCAUGUAGGCCGAGCGCACCGUAUAAUCUUCAUUUUUGUUGUAGUGCCAAAGAAUACGAUCUUGACCCGUUCCGAUGGAAGCCGGUAUGCCCAGAAUCGCCUCACAAUCUAUAGCCGAGAGAACUGUUGAAUCAGUGGUAUGUUCCAUUGUUGGGUGUCGUCAACGAAAAGAUUGUCUACUCGAGCAUCAUCCAUGUCAGGUAGCGUCAUUGUUUCAGGGAGAAAAUUCAUGUUAUCCCUAGGCAUCCAUGGAUCCGCUCAGAUCCUGAUAUUUCUCCCGUCCCCCACCCGCCAACGUAAGCCUUGUUGUAACAGCGGCUUCGAGUUCCAUAUACUUCUCCAUACAAAACUCGGAUUUGCUCCAACAACCGACGAUAAGAAAUCUCCUUAAGGAUAAUAUUUUGCCCUGAAAAUUUCUGGGUUAUGUAUCAAUCUCCACAUGAUGUUGUCCCGAAAGUGCCAAGUUAAAAUCCCGCAUGUCCCGAAAUCCCAAAGAACCGACAACUUUCCGUACCGCCAUACGAUCCCAUUCCAUCCAGGAAAUUCCCUUCUCGAUAUACCGCUUGGAUCCCCACCAAAAGGAAGUUAUCAUAAGUUCUAACUCCGUAAUGAGCUUGUCUGGUAGUGAGAACACGUUCAUGCUAUACAUGAGCAGAGCUUGAAUCACUACUUUUAUAAGAACCUCUUUCCCUCCGAACGAAAGAUAGUUAUCUUUCCAGGUUUGUAAUCUAUCCCACACCCAUUUUUGAAUUUCUUUAGAAGCUGCCGAUUUGUUCCGACCAACAAUGACCAGAACCCCCAAAAUAUUUAUUUGUGUCCAAAGCUGUGAGCACCAUUAGAACAGUAGAAACAUCUAGCUUAAUAUGAUCUUCGACCUCCUUACUAAAGAGAAUCCCUGACUUGUCGAAAUUAAUAAGCUGACCCGAGGCCAGGGUGUAGGCCUCAAAAAUAUUACGCAGCUGUUGAGCUUCCCCGACGUUUUCCAGGAGGAAAAACAGUGAAUCAUUUGCGAAUAGGAGAUGUGAAACUCGAGGGGCUCUUCUGCAAACCUGGUUACCAUUAAUGUUGUCGUGUAUCACUGCUCGACGAGUCAUAGUUGUGAGACCUUCAGUGCAGAGUAAGUAUGAAAAGAAACAAGGAUAGUGGACAACCUUGUCGCAGACCUCUCCCCAGCCGAAUCUAUCCAUACAACCCAUUAUUGACCGUGACUGAAUAACGAACUGACUUGACGCAUAGCAACAUCCACCGUACCCAUUUUUCGGCAAACCCCAACUUUCUCAUCACUUCCUCUAAGUACUUCCAUUCUAAGUACUUCCAUUCAACUCUGUCGUAAACUUUCGAUAUAUCAAUUUUCAAGGCCACACACCCUAUUGCUGUUUUAGGUGUAGUUGUCAUGCUAUGCAAGGAUUCGAAGGCUAUCAGGAUGUUGUCAAUAUUCAAUCUUCCAUGGACGUAUUCUUCUGGUGGAAAAGAAAAAUUAAAUUUUUGCUAAAGUGAUUUUGAAAACCAAUUUUUUUGUUGUCAUAUAUUUGAUCUAAUUUUUCGCCCAUCAAAUUGAGUGCGAUCAUUUUACAAUUUAGUUAAACUUUAGUGUUUCUUCAUAAAAAAAGCCAUAUGAGUGUGUUUCGUAUGUCACUUCUCGAAAAGAUUUAUUGUUGCAGUUUUUAAAGUUGGUCCAACUUUGUGUUUGCUGACAACAGAAAAUACCCGAUUGUGUGUUUGUAUUAAAGAGUCUGAACUGAUCAACUUUCACAUUGUUCUAGUGAUAGUUUUCGACACAAAAACGAUUCAUGCGUUGUCUCCCAACUCAGAAUUUUUGGUAAGAUCAAUCAUAACUAUAUCUNNNNNNNNNNNNNNNNNNNNNNNNNNNNNNNNNNNNNNNNNNNNNNNNNNNNNNNNNNNNNNNNNNNNNNNNNNNNNNNNNNNNNNNNNNNNNNNNNNNNNNNNNNNNNNNNNNNNNNNNNNNNNNNNNNNNNNNNNNNNNNNNNNNNNNNNNNNNNNNNNNNNNNNNNNNNNNNNNNNNNNNNNNNNNNNNNNNNNNNNNNNNNNNNNNNNNNNNNNNNNNNNNNNNNNNNNNNNNNNNNNNNNNNNNNNNNNNNNNNNNNNNNNNCUCUUAUAUUUUUUAUUUCUAUUUUCAGUAAAUCUAUCAUGAAAAGGAUGGUAAUAUAAAUGACAAUGUUGUUAUUGGACUGAGUAGUUUUCUUUAGUGGCGUGAAAAAACGUUGCAUUCUAAUAAUUUAAGAUGUUGGGAGAAGAUUUCGAUUGAUAUUUAUAUUAUUCAUUAAAACACUUUUUAAACGGAAGUUCUCAUAAGAGUUGAGUUUUGAACAACUUCGGAGAGUCAUAUGUAUAGAUUGAGAGCUAUCGGAAUUCGAUAGAGAGAUCUUUCGAUCAUGAAAAGUUCGGAUAUCAAGAACUUACGCAUUCCAAUAACUCGAAUUGUUGAGAGAGAAUUCUAAUUAAUAUUUAUAUUAUUCACUAACAGAUAGUUAAAAUAGAAUAAUUCAAUUAGUAGUACUGUGUAGUUCAAUUCAUUAAUCUAACAUUGUUUAAAACGACGUCAAAACAUAUGGCUUCCGUAUUUAUAAUACACUUAUUACUAUACAUAGUGGCGGGCCAUCGGCGGUAAGAAAGAUGUGGACGGCGGCGGAAGAAGUCACCUACACCUGCAAAGAUAUUUUUCCAUUUUGUAAAUGGGUCUAUUUUGGCGGGAAGGAACGGCCACAGAAGGCAGAUCCACCAUCCACGUGUCCGUUCGGAAUCACCUAUCGCGUCGACGAUCAAUAACUUUCAGCCACUGGGACGGCUUCACAUUGACCUUUAUUGACUGGCUGAUGUCAGAUGCGGGACCGAAUCAUCCCUAAAGAGAGAUCUAAUCUUCUACGUGGCGUCAGAUCUGUGGAGGAAACGGCUUGGGCCUACAGCAUGACAGAUGUCGCGAUCUGAAAUGCUGUUGCAGAUAAGAACGGAGAUGGUGGAGCUCUUUCUUUUUUUGUUCGUGAAUUGUGAAGUGGGAUGUUUGUAGGAUAGCGUGGCCCCAUGUCCUUAUGUAUCUAGAAAUGAAUAAUAAUAGGUGCUUUGAUACGAUUAACGAAUGAAAAUAACAAAUGAGUAUUUACAAAAGCAUCAUCCUAUUAAGUUCUUCCCUUCAAAAUUCCAUGGAUCAACAUAUUUUACUGAUUUUUCACUUCAUUAAUGUUCGAUCAGCUAUUUAUUUCUACGGUUAUAAGAUAAUUCAUCACAUCAAAUUGACAAGGUAAGAAAAUUAUGGCAUGGCAGUUAGAGGAGGCGAUGAGGAUCGUUCGGAAUUUGGUACCAUCAUUGCAGUAUACAAGUAGCUGAUAUAUGAAUAACCUUUUUAUCCGAUGAGUUGGGUUAGGAAAAAUAGAAAUGAGUUGAUGCAUGAAUUGGCCCGUUGCUUUCAUGAUUAUGUCGACACGUUUCUAUGUGAGUGAUUCAUUUGGAACUGUUCAUUACUUCAUUUCAUCUGGACUUAUUAUCUAUAUUUGGCUAAUAAUUAAACAAUACAAAAACUUGACUUUUAGAAAAAUAGAAAAAUGCUACUGCUCAUAUACAGAUUACAGUACUAGAAAAAUGAUAUCUGAACCAACCUUCUUCAUCUGUCAACGUUGCCCAACUCAAAUGCUUACGGGCCCAUGUUAUAGUUGUCGAUGGCAUUGCUUAUGGCCCCCUGCCGAUCUUUUAACAAGCCCAAAACAUAAUCAUGAUGAUUGCGUGAUUCAAUUCGGUCCAUUAUGAGGUUUGGUGGGAUACUUUCAAAGAAAGAGAGGGCUCAGGCAGGGAGAUCUCUCUCGCCGGCUUUGUUUGUUAUAGCAAUAGAAUUGCUCCACUGCUUGCUGCUGAGGGCUGCUGCUCAGGGGGUCGACUAUACACCUAUGCUAUGCAGAUGAUCUAAUAGCCUUCACAAACGGUACAGAGAAAGGGGUUCGAGGUUUAUGUGAGGUCUUUGAAAAGUUCCACAAAAUUACUGGCCUGCAGUUAAAUCCAUCAAAAAUAUAAUUUUUUUUUUGCAAGAUCUGUUUCAGCAGAAACAACAAAGGCUAUUGUCAAAGCAUCAGGCUUUAAAGUUUGAACCCUCCCAGUUCGAUACUUAGGGGUACCCCUUAUCUCAGGGAGGCUUACCUACAAAAAAUGUAAUGUGCUUAUUUUCAAGAUUACCAGCAGAAUAAGUAGUUGGAGGUCAAGAGCACUCAACUGUACAUAUAAAAAAUUCUAUCAUAUAUACCAAUUGUGUUUUGGGUACAAAUUUUUAAUAAUAUAGUUGAAAGCUUCUAAAUAUUAAUUUUUUCAAAUUUACUAUGAGGCGUUAGAUCGGAUAAAAUGUAUAUAUAAUAUAGUGAAACUGAAUAUAAUAUGCAAACUUUUUAGAAAAUCUGUAGUCAUUAAUCUUUUUAAAAUUAUUAUCCGUCGUUAAAUUAAAUAAAAUGCAUAUAUGAUAUGAUGAAAGUACACGAGGAAAACUCUCAUAAAAUAAAAGAACAAUAACCCUGUCCGGCUUUUUAUACGUAAACUUAGACCGGGAAACUUUUAUGUAACAAGCCUGCGGACUCUUCUACUAGAACGACAGAAACAAUAAAAAUAUGAGAGCUUUGGUCGCGGGCCGAAUCGCGACAAACCAGCGAUUCAGAAACAUAGAUGAAGAAGACGAGAGAAACGAAAAACAGGAACAAAUCUGGAGCUGGGGAGCUGGAACAGACGGGCAGCUCGGAACUGGGAAGCUAGAGGAUGAUCUCCUCCCUCAGCUCCUCCGCGUGCCGCCGCUCGCCGCCGCCGGGCCUAUCUCCAUGCUCGCCUGCGGCGGAGCUCACGUUAUAGCUUUGACAACCGGUCUGUAUUCUCUUUCCCCCCUUCUAAAGUUCGAGUUUUGUUCUUUUCGAAGCUUGAUUUUUUAUGAUGUUGAAGGUGGGAGAGUAUUAACAUGGGGAAGAGGAACAUCUGGCCAGCUCGGCCAUGGAGAUACGUUGAACUGCUUAACCCCAAAGGUUGUGGAGUCUUUGGAUAAUGAUGUAAUAGUAACUCAUGUCUCUGCUGGAUGGAGCCACUCUGGAUUUGUUUCAGGUUCUUUCUUCUGGUAUAUAAUCUCAUUUAGAGUUUGUGUUAAGUUUCUGGAAACUGUGUUUUCUUGAGAGGGAUUCUUCUUAGUUAUAUGUUGACUGUUGAAUUCAUUUCCAGAUAAAGGGUGUCUUUUCACUUGUGGGGAUGGCUCAUUUGGCCAGCUUGGCCAUGGCGAUCACUCAAAUUGCAGCAGUCCUGUUAAAGUCUCUUACUUUGACAGUAGUAAGCAUGUUGAUCAGAUGGCUUGCGGGAUGCGACAUUCACUCGUCUUGCUCAAGGGUAGUCUGGGGAACCAGAUUUAUGGUUUUGGCUCUGGGAAGCGUGGCCAGUUGGGUGUUUCGGCGGAGAAGGUCAAAUCAGCGAGUCAUCCUCGAGUUACUUUGGGGUUUGAGGACGUUGAGAUAGCUAGCGUUAGCGCGAAUGGUGAUCAUAGUGCCGCAUUGUCCGGUGAGGAUGGCCUUGAUAACCAUUAUUGUGUCUUCUUUGUUGUGUUCCCAGUAUGAAUAUGAACAAUUUGAAGUUACCAUUCAGGUGAUGGGAAGCUGUAUACAUGGGGAAGAGGGUUCAGUGGUUCUCCAGAUAGCAAUGUCCCUUUCUGUUCAUUUCCAUCAUUGCGGUUUGACCGAGUUGCUCUUGGAUGGAAUCAUGCCUUACUAUUGGACGAUGAUGGUGAAGUUUACAUGCUUGGUGGCAAUCGACAUGGAGUGCUUAGUGACGCGGAGAAAAUGAUAAACACAGCAGCAAACCAUCUUCCUGGUAAUACGGCAAUUCGAUUCCCAAAGAAAGACGUCCUGACUUGUGAGUUAUUUCUCAUUACGAGAAUUGUUUUCCGAAAAUGUAGAUUCUUCGACCGAGGCUGGUUUAGAGAGAGUGCUGAAUCCUGGCGGAGCGAAGGUUGUUCAGAUUGCAGCUGGAUCAGAGCAUUCUGCUCUUGUUACAAGUAAGUUGAUCCAAUCCAGAAUCGGUCUUGGUUUUUCAGUUUCCCUUGUCACUCGAUUGCCCAUAGUUAAGCUUGGGAUUCAAUGCAGUUGACGGAGCUGUAAUGACAUGGGGAUGGGGCGAACACGGUCAGCUUGGAUUAGGGAGUACAAGCGAUGAAACAAAUCCACAACCGAUAAGGAAUAUUGAGAAGGAAGCCGUCACCUCAAGCGUUUAUUGUGGAAGUGGAUUCACGUACGUAAUAAAGUCUGUACAUUCCUAAGCUUGCGAUCAGUUAAUACCGAACUCCUAUUUGUGUUUCUUGUGCAGCAAUCUAUUGCGAUUGUCUCGAAAAAUGGUAAUAGAUGGCCAAUCGAUACAAACCAGACAAUAUCAGACGAGUCAUUUGUCAUCUAUCAAUCAAGCAAUCGAGAAACUCGAUAUGAUACACUAAAUAUUGUGCUUUGAUUAUAAGAAGGUUCAUAGCAGAAACAUCUAUUGAACCCAUCAAUUUAAAGAAUCAUUAGCAAAGUUAUCCAAAUCAAUAAACCAAAGACUAUCUUAUUGGAUUAUGAGGAAAUUAUUUACAAACCCAUUAUUGUUAACAAUGGGACGCAGGGGAUCAGUCUUCCACUCACCAUCAACAAUGAACUUGAUCUGUGUUGCAUCAGGUUAGACAAAUAAAAAACCAGUUAAACAUCCUUCUCAAUUCGCAGAGAUUUUCGUAUCACGAAAGGGAUACAAGAGGAAAGAAGGAAAGGAUUUACCUCGUACUUGCCGGGAUAGAGUUUCAUGUUCAAGGAGAAGACACCACUGAUUGACUUCUCCAUCUUCUUCUGCAAGAAAGCAGUUGUAUUUUGUGAGUUUAAUAUGUUUCAGCAAAACCCAACAAGAGCUUAUCUCAGCUCACCUGGGUUGCCCAUCCAUCAAACGAUCCGGUUAAGAACACUUCUGAAGCUCUGUUAUUAGGCCAGACUAUGCUCACAGUGCGAAGAAGCUGUACAGCCUUGUCAAUAUCAGUGAUUCUCUUCUGUUUUUGUUCUAAGAGUCUUUGUGCAUCGCUGGUGAAGUAAAAUGAACCAUGUUACUGUAAGUUGAAGAUGGAUUUGGUGAGAGGUCAAUAGGAAAAAUAUUAAGAGUAUUAUACAUUACUGCAAGCGCCUGUCUGCCCUCCAGCACGGCUAACUUUGCUCGAAUUGACCGCAACUUGGCCUUCUGACUCAUUAUUUCAGUUUCGCGGAAUUCGAAAGCAUCAUUGAGCUUCGAAAGCUCGUCGUCAGUUGCGCUUUGACUAGCCUGGUGAAAGAUUCAGACCUAAGUUAGAUAAUGUGACAUGAACAUUGACAAAACUAAUAAAUCCUACGAACAGCAGAUAGCCUACUGAGAUCACUAUAUCUGAGAACAACGAAAGGACUACGAAGCUACAAAAUUUUGAAUUUCAUCUCCUUCGCAUGCGUUUCUAAGGAGCCUUCAAACAAUGUACUUUUAACAAGAAACUUUGAUUUCUAUUCCGAGCAAAUAUUGUAUUCACAUUACACGACUAACCUAACCAUAGUGAAUAACUUCAUCAACCUUUACCUUGUAUGACUCGUCUGCAUUGGCAUCUGAUUUCAAUGCAUUCAGUACAGCCAAAAGCUCAGAUUCUAUUUUCCGAAGCCGAGUUCUUAUGGGAUCCAACCCUGCUUCAGAACGGUUAGCAUUCUUGUUUGCAUGUUUACUAUGGCUCUCAACGGUUCCUGAAGUAUCCAGUUCAUUCCCAGUUCCAGUUUUUUUAGCAUCAAUCGCGCCUGCUGUACAUAGAACAGGCACAUAGAGAUCAGCUAGAUCUUAAGUUCAAAAUACUGACUGCAUCAUUUCAAAUAAUCGAAUUAGGAAAACUACCUUCAGAUUUCAGAGAUGAAGAUUCUUCCCUCGGUGCAUGCUGAGUUCUCCAAGCGUCAGGCUUAACUGAGUUCUCCAAACCAUUAACAUUUGUGCAUUGUCUGAAGUGACCAGACGUUCCCUGAGAAUCGUCGAUUCUGCCAUUUAUGUCAGGAACUGUCUUUGGCAGAGUAAGAAACAAUGCAAGUUAUGUUCAGAUAAAAUUGAAUUUCACUCAGGAACUUUCAUAUAGAAAGCAGUUAUCUUCUACAGUUUUAGAAGUUGCAAGGCGACUUCAUGCAUUUCUACAAACUUAAAUUCUAAACAAACUUGUAGAUUCAUCCAAAAAAACAUGCUGAUUGCGGAGGUGAAAUGAAGUCCCAAGUCACACAUACCGGACUUUCAGAGGUGGUAGAAGGCUCACCGUACAAAGGAUGCUGCUGACCCCAAACAUGAGCAUCUUCUCUACUCUCUGGCAAUUUAAAUCCAAAAUUCAUACUCCUUUCAGUCUCCAAUCUAUUCAAUAUACCCUCGAUCCCAGAAUUAUCCUCGGCAGCAGUUUCUCUGAGUCCAUAUGAACAACGAUAUAGACACGUCAGAGUUUUAUAAAGAUCCAAGGAAGGAUAAGGUUGAGAUACAAGUUCUGGAAACUGUUUCAUCCCAAACAACAGAAAACUGACAAAUUUCCAAAACUACAUCAUCUCCAAUAAAGAACUAGUGGCUAACACUACUUUCCCAAUCAUUCAUCAUCAUUGUUCUUGACAAAUAUAACCAGAUAAGGAAAAUCAUUAAACAAAGGACCAAACAUUAGAAGCCUUACAGUGAUCUGCCUGACGAAGAAGCAGAAGAGUACAAAGUAUCGCCUUCAUCUCCUUCCAAAUCCCACCCUGAAGCCAUCCACCCGCCUUCCCUCACAAUACGCUCCACAAGAUCCAUUCUCCCUGCACCAAUCAACUGCCUCUUCGACGGGAACAUCCCCGGUUCUUCUGAAUUCCUCAUAAAAUCCAAAAUUUCAUCUUCCAAUGAAGAAUCUCCUACACCACUCCCCCAAUCGUUGCUAACACCACACUCCCACCACGGAUUCCUAACACUCCGUUUCCUGACAUUAAGAAGAAACCCCAGCUGAGGCGCUUCUUCCUUCAUCAGCAUUGUACAGUGGAGAUGAACAACAUUGUGAUUCCUUUCUUGCUCCCUCGAUGCCUCAACUACUGAUGCGCUCCUACAGCAGAUGCGAAAUGAACGAGGGAGAGAAUCUGGGGAAAGGAUGAGAUGGGUGUUGACUGUUGUGACGGAAAGCAUGGUUCAGGCAUUUCGUCGAGCACCUUGCAGGCAAGUGAGGUGUGAGGAGGAGAAGCUGAGAGUUGCUUUACGGCCAAAUCAGCUCAUCGAGAUGACUGAGGAGGGAAACUCGGUAAUACAGUUACUAUAUAAGCGGGUGUAUGUACUUUGUUUGUACUGUAUAAAUGCUUGUUAUUCUUAUCUAUUGGACCGACUUGGUAAGAGAGUAAAACAAAAGAGAACUUGUUGGGCCCAAAUCUGUUUCAUAUGACCGAAUGUGACACUAUUUUGUUUGUACUACGGUUUAUUGGGCCAUGGGCCAUGAAAUGGACCUGUUCUGAUUUUAUCCUUGUCGGCAAUAGGUCGAAUAUCUUGUGUGUUCAUAUGAUUAGUGAGGGGGGAAAUAGGAUUAGUUUCACACACAAAAUGAAAACCGAAAUAGGAUUAGGGUGACAAUUUGACAAUUUUGACUUCUUUUGUAUGGUUAUCCCGAUCGACCUAUUUGGGUCGACCUGAUUGAUGGGAGGGGUACGAGUCUUUUAUGCGGCAUAUUAAUUCUGAAUCUUGACAUAUUUAUAUUUAAUUUGCAUGGUAUUUUAUAGUUAAAUAACAUCUUACUCGUACAUCUUAUAAAUAAACAUUAUGGUGCUCACGCAUAAAACAUAUCCCAUAAAGAUGUAACAAAACCUCUAAAUUUAUAUAAUCGUACACAACCGUUCUUAUACCACUUUAUGACAUUCAAAAGUUCAAUUUCCUUGCGCAAGAUCUUGACUAUUGAAAAUGAUCGGUUGUUAUUCUUUCUCAUUAUGAGGAUUCGUAGCUCCUCGGUUGUUCCGAAAUGUAACUCAAUUUCUUCGCAUCGAAUCCCAACUCGUAGAAAUCAUAGACAACCUUUCAAAUUCCUCUAAACUGCUUUGAUUAUAACAAGUUAUAAUCUUUCUCCCAAUAGGUUGGCUAGCUCAUUGCUGUAUAUAUCCCACAAUUUCUGUAAUAUGCCAUGAUUCAAGGGUCUUUGUCCGUCUGCCCUAGCAAAAUUCAACAAUGUAACAUGUUUUCGAUCGAUAAUUAAUUACAUCUUUACAAAAAUUAAUCAGAUGCUUCAGUUUCCAGUAUCGUUCAGGUUACUUGCUUAUCAUUGGACACUCAUUCCCUCUCGUAAUUAUGUAACUAGUUAUUUUUAUUUAUUAAUUAGUUAGGGUGAAUUCUUCAUACCCUCGUAUACAAAAAAAAAUUGGUGUGCCCAAUUUUUUUCCGGUAACGUACAUCCAUUAUCAACAUUCAUUUUAAGUUUUUAAUCUCUACGAUUCACAAUUAUUUGAAUUCUAAAUCUUUAUUUCACAUAUCACUUAUGAUAUCAAACUUAUUUUUAAUUAUCAAACUCACCACUCUCUUUGUUUCCCAUACCUAAAUUGAUACAUAGACACAAUAUAUUAACAUUGUUAUAUCCUCUUAAAAGGUUCUACAAUCCACUUCCACAUCAUCCAAUUUCCCACACAUUCAUUCCACGAGAAUCCCAAUUCAUCGUCCUUAUCAUCAUUCAUCCUUUGAAUUACUAGUCGUCCCUCUUCCCAGCUCCGACGGAAGAGAUUGAGAUAAGCUGAUUGGUCAGCUAAUUCCUCUGUCUCCUGGUCAUCGUUUGCACAAGACAUCACAACCAAAGUUUAAAUCGCCGCGAAUUUCCUUUCUUUCUUUCACAUCAACGACUCCUACAUUGUUUCUGACACUCUCGUAAUUCCUCUGCCCCCUACCAAUUCUCAAUCGCUUGAUUUUUAUCUUUAUUGUAGGUUAGGGCCCUACCAUUCUCCCCACUUUGAAUUACUCAGGCGACGUGCUUUUGAUCGAACACUUAUCUCACCAUUUAGGCAAGCUUGAACCCUGAGACAUUAUUCUAGUUCGAUCCCUGGUCGAACUGGGAAAGAUUGUGGCUAAAGUUAGAUGUCACCCUGUAUCCAUAGACCAUUAGGAUCUCUCACCAUGCAUUUUUGGGACAAUCCAAACUUGCUCUUUCUUCGUAAACUAAGCCCACUCACUUGUGGGUUGUGAUCGGGAAUCCGCCAAGGUCUCACUACUCCACUAGCCACCAGGCACAAAAUUUAAACGAAGAUAUUUGGACAGCCAAGACAAACUUCAACCAUCCUUCAGCACUGAUUAUCCUUCGACAUUCGAAGGAUUGCCCUCACUUGUCCCUCAACAGGGAGUUGAUUUCGACGAAAAUCGAAGUGGAGGUGUAAGAUAUACCCAAUGUUCCAAAUAGUGGAGAGGUGCCAUGAUUGAGUCCCCAUUACUGCAUAUCAUAUCAGUCAUCGCUUCAAUCAUAGAAUCUAUCUAUUGUAGUAUCACUUUGUGAUCGUGAUAUGCUUGCAAAAACACGGUGGCAAAAUGUCGGAAAAGUGAGGUCCAUGAUUGAUUUCAGAAGCAUGCAUUAGACGUACGUUUCUGAAUGUUUGCUUACAAACGUUGCAAGUACUGGAUGAACUGGCCGUCACAUGAUGAAUGUGUUGACUUAUAUUAUCGAGAUGACAAAGCAAAAACCAAACUAUUUCCAACAGUUAGAAAGUCCAUCCUAUAAUUACAUACAUAUGUCCUUCUCCAGCAUGUCAUGUUUGGUAACUUAUGUGAAAGAAUUGGGAAGCACUUACAAACAUGUUCGUCUGUCUACUUUGAAAAUUCCUAGCUUGUUGUGUUAUGUACAUGGUUUUCGAACCUCGUCACGCGGCAAGAUUGACCGUCGAACUAAAAGUGGGUCAUCGUAACCUAGACCACCAUUCAAGGUUCCAAAGUGACGAAUUCCAAUAUGAGCAAAAUUAUUAGAGCUUUUUUACUUUUAAAUUCAUUAGAGUAACGAUUGUGAUGGCGUUAUAAUAAUGCCAUAGUGAUCUCAUGGCCGAUCUAAUUCUGAUCCUGUUACGAGUGCUUAGUUAAAUAUCCUCAUAGGUUGUCUAGUUGCUGUGCCCAGCUGAUCAUAGCAUAAUUUUCUCCGUAAAGAUUCUUCUUUUUAUUUUCUAGAAGAGAAAGAUUCUAAAUCAAACCGAAACAAACAAGAAAUAAUCCGGUUGCCAGACUGUAUCAACUACUCAUCAUCAAGUGCUUUUGCAUGAUGAUUCUUCUUAUUUAUUAUUAUGUAUUUGUGAUUGAUUUUUUAGUUUGGUUUGGUUUUUUCAUAAUAUGAUUCACUGUGUUGUUAGUUUAAUUUGACUCAUUUGUUGGUAUAAUUCGAAUCCGACACUCUACAUCUUUCAAGUCCGAUCCCGCUCCUCAUAUAUAUCAAAGUGACAAUCUUCUUGGUGGUCUGAUAUAUAUUUGUUACAAUGCUACAUCUAUUAUUAAUGAAUAAUAAAAUUAAUAUUUCAUAUAUGAAAUGUAAAUAGUCUAUGGCAUUAUGCAAGAGCAUUUGACACACACUAAGAUUAAUAUUAAAUAUUUCCCCCAUUGUUAUGAACUAGUGACAAAAAUGGAUGAUAAUCUGUGCAUAAUUGAUGAUAGAACCAUAUGUUGGUGAUCAGAAAUUUCGAAUUGAAUUUAGUUAUAAUUCACGUUCUGAUAUCUAUAUGAUAAUCAUUUUUUCUAUAAUUUACUUUAUCUUGUAAUGGAAUCUUUAUUUUUAAAAAAGUUCCCGACACAUUAUAAUUAUUUGAAACGUACCAUCCGUUACAAUAAUAAAGUCACGCUAAACUCAGGUGCUUUCAUAGCCCAUAACGUUUUCUUUUUCUUUCUCUAGCCUUCAUGGGGGUUGGAGGCUUCAAUCUUGGCUUUGUAUUUUUGUAUUUGUUAUGUAUGUAUUUUAGUAUAUGUUGCUUGUAUUUUUGUANNNNNNNNNNNNNNNNNNAUUUUUGUAUUUUCCUUAUCGAAAAUUACACGUUCCGACAAAUUUGACAUAAAGAAUAUGGGGCAGCAUCUCCUGAAUAUCUUAUGAUUUAAAAAUAAUACAAUUCAUAAUUAAUUGUGUAGUGGAUCAUAAAUGGUAUGUAUAUUAGUUUGGCUUAUUUGGUUGUCUUCAUGCAUGGUUAUGAUCAAUCAUUUUCCUCCAACGUCGACGAAUUCUCGACCACUACAAGAAACAGCAUCCACCCAAAAAAAUUAUUGGGAGAUUACAAAAAUGUUUAUAGUGGUUAUUUGGUGCUAACCCUAAUCCUUCACCCAUGGUCAAGUGACAUUAAAUACAUUUCAACUAUUAUUUUAUAUACAUUUUUUUCCUACUUUCUACUUUUCUCUUUAAGAUUAUAUCGGCUAUUCAUUUACGCUUUACUCACGUUNNNNNNNNNNNNNNNNNNNNNNNNNNNNNNNNNNNNNNNNNNNNNNNNNNNNNNNNNNNNNNNNNNNNNNNNNNNNNNNNNNNNNNNNNNNNNNNNNNNNNNNNNNNNNNNNNNNNNNNNUGUAUCCAUAUUACUCUUUUGUUUUAUCAUAAUUUAUUAUACUUGUCUCUAAAAUGAGUCAACAAAAAGCUUUUGUAUAAAACAACAUUUAUGAGUGGUGAGACAAUAGGUUUUUAUUAGUGUGAUUGUUUUGGGCUGAUCUCAUCGUUUGUUUUCUGNNNNNNNNNNNNNNNNNNNNNNNNNNNNNNNNNNNNNNNNNNNNNNNNNNNNNNNNNNNNNNNNNNNNNNNNNNNNNNNNNNNNNNNNNNNNNNNNNNNNNNNNNNNNNNNNNNNNNNNNNNNNNNNNNNNNNNNNNNNNNNNNNNNNNNNNNNNNNNNNNNNNNNNNNNNNNNNNNNNNNNNNNNNGUAAUCGUAUACAUAUUUUUCGUUUAAAAUUAUUUUUAUAUAUAUAUUAUUACGAAAAAUAAUUAACAAAAUUACAUAUUAUCGAAGUUUUACAUCUGAAAAUGGACUUAUCAUUGCUCCGGACGUCCCUAUAUCGGGCAGAUAAAAUUCGUGCACAAUACUAAUUAUUUUUCUCUAUUUUACAUGGAAAUAUAAUUAAGCCUUGCGCAAAACAUAUAUAUACGGAUGAUAUAAAAAAUGUACGUAUUAGCCUGGCCAAUACAGAACAAUUCAUGAAAGAAAAAAUGAAUAACGGAUAACUUAUUAGGGAUAAUACUAAGAGUUUCAAUAUAAUUUAUAUGGAAAUAUAAUUAACUAAUUAAGCCUUGCGUAAAACAUUUAUAGGAUAAUAUUAAAAAUGUACGUAUUAGCCGCCAAUACAGAACAAUACAUGAAGAAAACGAAUUACGGAACCCUAGGCCCUGAUUGUUGGAGGCACAACGAUCAAGGAGAUAGCGACGUCAAAUAAUUGUUUUGUGUGACUUUAGCUGAAUUAAUAACCAUAGUCCAUAGUCCAUAUACGUAAGUUGUUUAUUAUGAAUAUUCAUACNNNNNNNNNNNNNNNNNNNNNNNNNNNNNNNNNNNNNNNNNNNNNNNNNNNNNNNNNNNUGGUUCCGCCAAGGCGAAAACUCAAGUAAGGGUCAACUUAGUUAGUUAGUUGACAGCCUAGUUCUAAUAUGUCUUGGUUAUAGACUUAUUAUUGCAUCGCUUGACAGUCUGAAGUGACCAAAUUAAACUCACUACUUAAACAUGAUAAUAUCAAUUAAAAUCACGCCGCCCAACAUUAUACUAUAAAUACGAGCAUACUCACUCUAAAAACACAAAUUAUCAUAAUUGUUUAGGGACUAUUCCAUCUAAUAUAUGUAUACUUUAUUUUAAUCUUACAUUAUCUUUGAACUCAUUAUCUUAAACUAAACGAUAAGUCGUUGAAAACCUCAUGCCCACUCAAAUGGCUAUUUUUUUGUGUGUUAAGCAAAAAUGAUUUCAGAUAUCAGUUAUGUGAAUUCGAAGUUAAUGCCACAUGGUUUCAAAAAUGAAAAGUAUUAGGAUUUAUAACUUGUAGAAUUUCAUUAUUGAUAUUUCAAUUAAUUAACAAGCAGUUGGCAACAUGUUAAUUUAAUUUCUACUUGACAAAGUUGAGUACUAUUUGGUCACCUCAAUUGAUGAUUAUGAUGAGAAGGCCCUCCUCUUUGUUAGUACCUUAACCCUGUUGUUGACCCAGCAAAUACUUUUUUGUACUAUUCCCAACUAGCAAAGUUCUAAACUAAACUCCAAAGAGAAAAAAACUAAAUUUCUUCAAGUUGGCGUAUCAAAUUUGAACUGUAAAUUUUCAUGCGGGUGGUAUUAUAUUAUGGACAUCAACUUCAGUAAUAAGCAUGCUUUCAAAGUCAGAAAAGUACUCCUCAAAACACCGAAAUGGACGGACGGGUGAUAGUGUUAGAAUUUGUAGUGAUUAUCUAUUUUUAUCUAUAUGUUUUUUGAGUGAAUAUUAGCUUGUUCGUGCUUCAUUCUCGUGUGGUAUCGUGUUUUGACAUUAUGUGUCUAGACCCGUUCACUUGGACCGUUUCGGUCUAUUUGAUGUGUGUCUUUGUAGUAUUUGUUAUCCACAUAUACUUUAGAGAUAGGUGGCUCGACUAUGGGACUUUAGAUGCGGAAUAGAGCACGAUUGGAGCUCGAACAGAAGAACGAAAUAAGAAAUGGUGAAACAUAAGAGCUGCACGCCGUACAUGCCUAAAACAUAAUUCGGGUCGCGUAGCAAAAAACUUUGAACGGCUUGCAUGGGUAUAUGUUGUUCACUCUUAUUUGGGAUGUGAGUAUUUUCAGCACAGGGGGUGCAUAACGUGCACCUCUUGGAUUCAGCGUGUAUGAUCGUGUCGUGAAUUCAUACGAGUAAUAAGAGGAAUCGUAUUGUUCAAUCCAAGUCCAACGUUGUUCGAUCUGACUACUAUUAGGAAGUUGAGUUUGAUGAAUCAUCCCUUCCAAGAACUUGUUCUCUCCUUCUGAUCAAACCUAAAUUGCUAGUUUAAUUGAGUCAGUGGAAUAAUUAGAAACCAAAAUCAAUUUAUUCAGUCUAGACCGUGUUGACGAGUGAUCACCAAAAUAACUGUGAAGUUAUCUCGACAAGACAAGUGUCGUAUGUGUCCAAGGAUUCCUCUCGUUAUGUCUCUACUCAAACUAGUCAACACGGUCUAGACUAAGAGAAUUUGUUUUGGGUUUUAAUUACUCUAAUGAUUAAAUUAAACUAACAAUUUAAGGUUUGAUCAAAGGGAGAAAGCAAGUUAUUGGGGGAAGACUCUUUCUCUUUCCUCAAAAACAGGCUUUUAUAUGGAAGCUGCUGACCCUGGGGGUGCACGCAUUGCACCUUCUUGUCUUCAGAAUUCCGCGUAGCUGAAUGGAAGGAACGACGUGCAGGGGUGCAUGUCGUUCCCCUCUUUUAAGGCCGUGAUUUUCAACAAUCACUGGCAUGCACGUCGUGCAGUUCUUCUGCUUCACCAUUUCUUUUCUCGUUUUUCCGUUCGAACUCCAACCGUGCUCUACUUUACGUCUAGAGCUUCAUAACCAGACCACCUAUCUCUAGAGUACAUGUGGAUAACAAACACUACAAAGAAAACACAUCAAAUGGACCAAAACGGUCCAAGUGAAAAGGUCUAGGCACAUAAUGCCAAAACACGAAAUCACACGGGUAUGAAACUCGAACAUGCUAAUAUUCACUCAAAAGACGUGCCGAUAAGGAUAGAUAAUUACUACAAAUUUUAGCACUAUCAAAUCCCCCAACACUUGAAUCAUGCUUGCUAAUCGCCAAAAUAACAGUGAAGUUAUCUCAACAACACAAGUGUCGUAUGUGUCCAAGGAUUCCUCUCGUUAUACCUCUACUCAAACUAGUCAACACGGUCUAGACUAACAAAAUUGGUUUUGGGUUUGAGUAAAAGCAUAACGAGAGGAAUCCUUAGGUACAUACGACACUUGUGUUGACGAAAUAAUUUCGUAGUUAUUUUGGCGAUCAACUUAUAUAUCCCUGACUAUCCAACCCGAACCCGUCCGAAAAAAUACAUGCGCGAGACUGCGAAUGGCAAUGUAUAUAGUGGUUGGUGGGGUAGGGUACGUGGGUUCCGUUUUUAUGAUGGGAUAUGUUUGGAACGAGUAUUUUAGUGCAUAGUGCACGGUCAAACUGAGUAUAUGAAGUUGAGAUAUAAUUUUAUUUAUAGAACAACAAAUUAAGAUAGAUAAAGCUUAUAGCAAUGAUUAUGUGGUGUUGUAAUUACAACUAACAAAUGCUAAAAUUUAUAAAUUCUAUAAAAAGGCUUGUGGAGAAUAGUAUGUAUAACGACACUCUAUGUUUAUUGUGCACACAUAUACUAUACAUGUUUCAAAAUAAAUCGAACCGGUUUGUUCCGUUGAACAGGUCCAAAUUGUCCACUAUACUGUUUUUUUUUACUUUUUAUUUAUAAAUUAAAAAUUUAUUAAAACAAACCAGCGGAUCUAAUGAAAUAAAAAUACAAGUUUCGAAAAUUGAAAUGACUGUCUAAACAAAUUCAUAUCUAAAACAGAUUGAUAAGUGCGGUUAAAGUAAAAAAACGAGACAAGCACAAGACAACCAAAAGUGUAAUCCCGCCACUACCCACACAAUCAUAAAUCGCUCUAUGUUUACUGUGCGCGCAUAUACGGUACAUGUUUCAAAAUAAGUCGAAUCAAUUUGUUUCGUCAAACAGGUCCAAAUUGUUAAAAAAUAGUUUUGUUUUUCCAGCAACAUCGCGGAUAUACAUGUUUUAACAACAGUUGGUCCAAACUUGAACUCUACAUAUAUAAUAUAAAUGCAGAUCAUGUUCUAACAGUUGGAGUGUUGGAUACAACUUUCCAUUUUAUUGAGUUAGGCUUGAUGUACGUGUUGUAUUAAAGUUAGAAAUUAUGAUAUAAAGUUACCAUACAUAACAUUUUGUUGGUCUCCUUUAGAUUUGUAUUAUUUAUGCUAAUUAGGCUUUGAUUUGGGUGCAUGUCCUUUUUUAAAACUUGAUGUGACAAGCCACGGAAAAUUAGAGCAUUAAUUACCAUCGAUAUCCAAAACCUUGAUUUUUCUGAUAGAAUUGUAUGUUGGCUCCUAUUAAAGGAAGUGUCUACUUACCAUGAUGUUCAAUUUAUUUUACAUAUGUUAACAUUAUAAUGAAUUUGAUUUCAAAAGCGCAAAUGAAUCUACGUUAAAAAGGGAUUUGACAGAGAUAGAGAGCAAAAUCAUAAAAGACAUAAUGAUUUGUUAAUACCGUUUAAAAAUUACUCUCUUGACCCCGCAGAAUCUCAAGGAGGGAAAGCUCAAUUCAAAAAAUCGUAUUAUUAAUUAAGCAAAAAUUGACACAAUGAACAAGAACAAAAAUUAAAGAGAAGAAUAACAGAGAGAAGAGCAUCCAGAGAUCAUCUGAUCGUGAGAGGAUACUUCAUCUUCUCUGUGUGAUGGUUGAAAGGUUUCAAGCUGGAAUUUUAAAAGGAGGAGAACUGAGUAUGCCUGGGAUACUUCAUCUUCUCCGUAAUGGUUGAUAGAUUUCAGGCUAGGGUUUCAAGAGAAGGAGAACUGAGUAUGCUUUCUCUCUUCACUGACGGACUGGUCUAAUAAUAGAUUUUGAUCAAGACUUGUUGCAAUCAGGAUUAUAACAACACCAUAAAAGAUUUGGAAAAGUUUCGCUCUUGAUUUAAGGUUCAACCAUCUUCUCAGUUCAAAUUUUAAUCAUAGGGUAUUGAGAUUACGCUUUAGCCUAUAUAUCAUGAAAUUUAAACUCAAAUAAUGUUAUCUACCCCUAGCAACAUUGUAUUAUAAAGCAAAGUAAAAGCUACAUGAUGACUCCACAAUCCAAAUCUUGAAGCUUUCCUUUGCAGAAAGCAGUGUAUUAUUAGUUUAUAACUGCCCCCGUCACCUAAUCCAUCUAAGGACAUUGUACUAUAUCAACUUAAUUAUACAUUGACGUGACAUUUGUAUAAAUGUAUAAUGCAUUAUGUUUUGCUUUGAAUAAAAUUAUAAAUCAAAGUAUAUGAUAGAGAAUUUGACUACACUUUGCAUGAGAUGUAGGUAUAACUACUAGCUAGUAUAUAUAUAUAUGGAACAAAGAACAUAUAUGUUGCUUGACGAGCUAUUGGUCGGAACAAAAAAAUCCAAUAUAUCAUUCAUCUUGUACUACACUGCACCGCGCGUCAUAGAGCGCUUUAUCGUUGUCGGUCGACAUAUUUAUUUUUAAAAUCUUGCACCAAAUUCUCAAACGUAAUAAAUAUAUUUCAACUACAUAAUACAGCCGUCAAUAAAUUAAACAUUGUAGAAAUAGGACUGUUGUUGUGGUCGGCACCACAUAUUGAGCAUGAAAUCCUGUUGGAUGUAUAAUUCAAUAUGGAAUUUCCAACUGUCCACCACCAAUCCAACCAAAUCUGGCUGACUCAUGGCCGGCUGUGCCUUCGACAUAAUUCCUACAAAAUUUAGGAGUCUCAAGUUAUAACUUUAUACGUAAAAAGUAAAUAUUGGUGUAAAGGUAAGAAAUACUAUUUUUCCUAUGUUGGUCAGACUCUUCAUAAGAACACACAAUCUAUAUUUUAUUUUUUAAAUAAUUAAUAAAAUAUAUUAGGCCUCGUUGUAUUAUGUUUCGAUUUGAAGUAUAAGGCAUCAAAUGCCAGUUAAAUUUGCCAUUUUUCAUACUAGCCUUACAUAAUAUAUCACAUUUAUUAUCUAAUUUAAUUAGAAAAUCGAUCGAUAUUCGUGCGAAAAAAAACCGUUGAUGUUUUUCAAUAUAUUUCAAAUAUUAUAACUUUAUCGGUUCAAUAAGAAUUAAUAUAGGUUAGGAUAUUUUCGAUUUAUAAUAUAUGAUUGGCAUUUUUGCCAUUUCAAUUUAGAUCAUUGGACACCGUGCAUGUGGCAACCUGCCUAUCUCUUGUCCCUAUUGCAAACAAAAAAAAUACCAAAUAAUUAAAUUCAACUACAAAAAAAUUGGCCCAUAUGUAAAUACCCAUUUCACCCUUCCAUAUACCUCCCUUGUAUAUAUACACACUCACCAAUGAGCUAAGACAAUGCGAAAAUGGACAAUAUAUGAAAAAAAAAACAGCAACACCCAUUAAACAUAGAAUAAACAAACAAACGGAGACGCGAAUAUGGCAGCCGUCGUUAAAAAUCCCUGCGCCAGUCUCCACUACUGGUCAUGCUGCCGUGGCAAGGACGUCGAUGAGCAGAAGGAGCAGCAACUCGGGAGUCCAAAUUCGCUGUCGAUUGUCCCGUCGACGGGGACUCCCAAGCUUCCUGAAGACAACAACCGCAAGAAGAAGCCCGGCGGAUGGAGAGCCAUGCCUUACGUGCUAGGUAAAAACGCUGCGCAAAAAAAUAAUUUUUGCGACCGCUUAAGCUAGUGCAAUAAAUUUUCCUUGUCAUAAUUCAGUCAUAACUAGUUGGUUAAAUUUAUUUCCCUCCUUUUUAUCAUAUCAUCAUACUAAUUGAAGCCCAUUUUUGUAAACAAUAAUUGAGGCAACCGCACUCCGGCCAGAAUUGGUUGUCGCAGGCGGUCGCUACUGUCAGUUUCUUUGUGACGGAAUCCAAAUUUGUCCGUUACGGAAACUUUUCAAAGUUCACCGAAAUUCUGAAUGUGGGUUACGUUGGCCAACGUGAAUUAGCAAUGGGCGGUUUUUGUCCGUUUCGCUUUGCUUCGAUCAUUUCAGGCUUUUUGUGUGUCACUAUAUGAUACAAGCAAUCAAGUACUACAUGUUUGUUAUUUUCAUACAUUCGAUCCAUCUGUUCCUAUUAUCGAGAACCGUUGCAUCCCAAUAACUCAAGUUGUUGAGGGUUUUGAUAGGAUGUAUAGUAUUCAUUAACACGCCCCCUCGAACAAAAACUUCCAGAAGAGCUGAGCUUUGCACAGCUUCACACGAUAGGUCAUGUGCAUAGAAUGGGAGCUACAUGGAUUCGAAGGAUCGGAGACAUCGCAAUCUUAAUUUCAAGGCUUUGAUACCAUAUCAAGAACCCUUGCAUCCCAAUAAUUCGAAUUGUUGGUUGAGAAGGUUCUGAUAAACUUUAUAGUAUUCAUUAACACCUAUUUGGUAUAAAAAUGGUACAUAAUGGUUUCUAGGUGGAAAAACAAUAAUUCCUCCACUGUGGCCUGAGCCAUGUUGAGAAUUAAUGCUCGAAACGGGCCGUGACCAUGAUGAUCUAGCUAUGUAUAGAGAAUCGUUAACACGGUUGGUCUGACUAUAGUGAUGUCGAAAAAUCUAAACUCGUCCCGAAUCGUACAAUACCCAAAAAAGCAACCCAUCCACAAAAAACAUUAAAUAAUAAAACUAAUCGGUCAAGUUGUAGCUGUACUCACAGACCUUGAUUAUAACGUUGAAUGCUUAUGAUGUGUUCCUAGGCCCGGAUACAACCUUGACAGUGACCAAAAAAGCACAUUCAUAAUAUGUUUUCCAUUAUGGAUCCGUCCCUGCAGGAAACGAGACGUGCGAGAGGCUGGCGACGGUGGGACUGUUUGCGAACUUUCAGGUGUACCUAACAAGAGAGUUCCAUUUGGAGCAGGCGAAAGCAGCACAGCUACUCAAUGUCUGGUCUGGAUUCACUAACUUCAUGCCGCUGUUGGGGGCUUUCAUCUGCGAUGCUUACAUCGGACGGUUCAAAACCAUUGCUUUCUCCGUCUUCGCCGAACUUCUGGUACGUCGUUAAUCAUACGCUGCACUAGCUGUACUAUACAAUAAUCUCACCGCACCGACGAAAUCAUUACUAAAUAAUUAAUUGGAGUUUAGAGUAGUCUUGGGAAAAAAAGCUUGCUUUGACAUUGGAUGUGGGAUUUUUUAAAACUGGACAAUAAAAUUUAUAAAUUUACGAGGUAUAAUAAAAUUUUAAUGUCCAUGUAAAUAUGGACGGUGGAGAUUGGUAUAGGAUAUCUCGAGUAUUGUUUAUAGACCAUGUGAUGGUGAAAUGGGGCGAUUUAAGUCAUCAACAAAAGUAGUUCAUUUAGAAUGUAAUGAAAUUUGAUGUAUUUUUUUUAGAAAUGAAAGGUUAUGUCAAAUUUGUUAUAUGUGUUUGAAGUUUGAAUUUGAAAUUUCUAUCAAACUAGUUUCUUGAACCAUAUUUGUGCGGCUAUUUCGUGCAAGCGCUAACAGUUAAACUAAAAUAAAUCCGAUUCUUUUACUAAAAAGGUAAGAAUAUUGACAAGAUUAACAAUAUAAACAAAGAGGCAAAGCAUUCUUUACUUCGAUCGAAUUGGUACAGUUUUGAAACACAAAUGUCCAUGUAAAUGGACAGUGGAGAUUCGUAUUGGGUAUUUCGAAUAUGGUUUAUAUGUCGCGUGAAAUGGGUGGGGCCAACCUAAGUCAUGCCACAUACAAGGUUCAUCCAGAAAGUGAUGAAACUCGAAGUAAAUUUUUUGGAAUUUUGAGUUUAUAAAAUUGAUACUCAAAAUUUUCACAGAGUAAUUCAAACUAUUUUGGUUCCGUGACCGUGCAAGCUAACUAAACUCCAAUCGAAUUGUUUCGCUGAAAAGGUAAGAAUGCGAACAAGAUUGAAUCGAAGAUAUCAACAAAGCUAGUAGCUAACUGCAUUAUUUGCUUCUAAUUUGUCUUUACAUGCAGAAACCUGAAAAGGUAAUAUUCGCUGAAUACUUUCUGGGAAACUGGAAAAUCCUUAAAAUAAAAAGUACACUUCAAUUAUUUUGACCUUUCGAAAAAAUUAUAAAAUUAUAAUUGAACCAUAACUAUACCAAAACUAUUAAACUAUUUCGAUCCGAUUUUAAAAUCGAGUCGCAAUCAAUCGGUACCGUUUUGAAAAUGUUGCCCAAUUAUGUAAGAUCCCCACCGCCUUCAAUUUCCAGACAAAAUCAAACAAAAGCCAGAGUCGACUUCAAUUCCCACUUACAAAGUUAAUUAAACUAUCUCAUUACGUAACUCAACGUGAUUAAUCACUUUCCAUAGAAAAGGCAAGAAAAUCCAAUUUACUAAGGAUAAAAUUUGAUCGCAAAAAUAAUUGUGAAGUUAUUUCGACAACACAAGUACUGUAUGUGUUCAAACGUUCCUCACGUUAUGCUUUUACUCAAAUUUAACAGCACUGUCUAGGCUAAAAGAGUUGGUUUUGAUUUCUAAUGAUUCUAAAGUUUCAAUUGAAACUAACAACUUAAGGUUUGAUCAAAAGGAGAAAACAAGCUCUUGUAUGAGAUGAUUCAUCAAGUUCAACAUCCUAAUAGCAGUUGGAUCGAACAAACGUUGGACUUGGAUUAAACAAAACGAUUCCUCUUAUCACUCGUGUGAAUUCGCGGCAUGAUCAUCCACGCGGAUUACCACUACUAGCUCCCCAGCCAAAGUUGGAAUAAUCCAAACUAGGCUAACCGGUAAUGAACACCGAGAAGUUCCACAAAGUGAUGAAGUGCUCUUUCAAAAUUAGAGGAAAUCAAGAGUAAUUGAAAUUAGUAUUAACUUGGUCCAUCAACACCUAAGCUAUUGAUAACUACACCCAACUUGGUCCAUUGGGUGCAAACCAGAGUGCCCGCCGAUUACAAAAUAUACAACCUUUAAAACUAGAACAAUCUAGCUGUUGGCUUACCCACUGAUAACUUUCUCCUAUCUUAGAUUGUUAAUCAUAUGAUGAUUGUCUAUCGAACAAAGGAUUUCAUAGAUUUGACCUAGUUCAAACUGUAACAAGAACUAGGUUGAAAACCCAACAAUCAAAACAAUCUUUUAUUAAAAUCCAAUAAUACAAUAAUCAUAAACCUUAUACCUUUAGAGAGAGUAUCAUAUCUCAAAUCCAACAUCUCAACCAAGAAGCUCUAAGAAUUAGCUACUCAUGAUUCUAAAAGAAGACAAAUCAGAAUUCAAAACCAUCAUCUUGAUGAGGAGAUGAUGAAUUGAUCCUCCUCCAAUCGUUGGUUUUAAUCUUCUAUCUUCAAUCUUCGAUGGGGACUCUUUUGGAUCUUCAACUGGACUUCUAGGGAUGGAGAAAGGUGUUUUUGCAGAUGAGAAGUCGUGAAAAAUUUGAAGAAAUUCGUUCUAGGGAAGUCUGAUUCUCUUUCCUUGAAAUCAUAUUUUUAGAUGAGAAACUGCAGAUCUGGGGGUGCACGUCGUGAAAAACAGUGCACGUCGUGUACCUCUUUUUGCUAUGAGGCUAUUUUGCAAUUUAGGCCUGCACGGCGUGCAGUUCUUCUGCUCCUCCAUUUCUUGUCUUGUUCUUCCGUCCGAACUCAAUUGUGCUCUAUUCCAUAUCCAAAGACUCGUAAUCAGACCAUUUAUCUCUAGAGUACCUGUAGAUAACAAAGACUAAAAAGAAACACAUCAAAUCGACCAAAACGGUCCAAGUGAAAGGGUCUACGCACAUAAUGCCAAAACACGAAAUCACACAAGAAUGAAGCACGAACAAACUAAUAUUCACUCAAAAAGUGUGCAGAUGAGGAUAGAUAAUUGCUACAAAUCCUAGCACUAUCAAAAUCUCAUGAUUAUGACCCAUAUAUAUAAAUUCCUAAUUAGUAUAAUACGGUAUUAAUACGUUCAGAGUUUUGUAAGCGAUUUCAACAUAAUAAUAGGUUUAGAAGUUUGGCAUUUAUAAAAUAUGAUGAAUUUAUAAUUUUAAAAGUGAAUAUAAAUUAAAAGUUAUUAAAAUGUCUGAUCAAUUUCUUAAAAUACGUGUAUUAAAUCUAUAAUAUGUCUUUUAUACGUGAAGUAUCAAUCAAAUAUUUAAAAAUUAAACAGCCUUACAAUAAUACGGAAACUGAAAUUUUAAACGAAUACAAUUUAUACACAUGUAUUAUACGAGUAUUAAAAAGAUUUUUGCUAACUUAAAAUUAAUCUCCAAUUAAAUAUAAUUAAUCUUUCUCUCUCUCUUGACCUUUAGGGGAUGGUGACCAUCACGUUAACAGCAUGGCUGCCGCACCUCCAGCCACCCAAAUGCGAUAUCGCUUUAAAGAGCGGUGUAGUCUGUCUGGGCCCCACCUCAGGCCAACUUGGGGUCCUGCUUACAGGUCUGUGCCUUCUGUCAGUAGGAACAGGAGGGAUCAGGCCAUGCAGCAUCCCGUUUGGGGUCGAUCAGUUCGAUGCCCGGACGGAGGAAGGAGUGAAGGGGAUCAACAGCUUCUUCAACUGGUACUACAUGACCUUCACCGUCGUCAUUCUGUUGUCGUUGACGGUGAUCGUCUACAUCCAGGACUCGUUCAGCUGGGUCGUCGGGUUCGGGAUCCCGACUGUUUUCAUGGUGGUGGCCAUCUUCUUGUUCUUUAUAGGGAGGAAGAUCUACGUCCACGUCAAGCCCGAGGGGAGCGUGUUCUCGGGGAUCGCUCACGUGUUCUGUGCCGCUUAUAAGAAGCGGAACCUUAAGCUCGACGACGACAGUGAUGAGGUUGCUGUUCUUGAUGGGAAGUUUUAUGAUCCGCCGGCUAAAGCUACCGUCAUUCACAAGCUCCCCCUCACCAAGCAGUUUAGGUAAAAAAAUUUGUUGCUUUCUUGUUUCGAGAUCGAUAUAUUGACUGUGUCAAAUCUAACAGCGGGAACAAUUUAACGAAAUAGGUCAAAACUGGUGUUUAUUUGAAAGGUAAUAGGUCGAACUUGAAAAAUAUAGUAGAUGAAUAUGAAGUUAUUAAAGAAAUUUACAGCUUUGCUAGGUUCUAUACAUCUAUUUGUCAAUAUCUUUAUUGGAAUAGAGUUGGACUGAUUAACGAAUUAGAUAUAAAUUCGAAAUUAUUGAGAUAUAAUGGUUCAACGUAACAUGGUCAUUCAAAAUUUAUUUUUCGUGGUGGGCAUAAUUAAAAUAAAUAAAAGGUGGCUUUUUCGGUAUGAUUAAUUGAUUAUACAUAGGGUAGACAAUGGAAUUAAUUAUAUAUAUAAUUCGUAUCAUACGUCCAUAUCAAUGAUUUUAUAACUACCACCCGCCAUAGGCAAAAAGAAUUUAAUACAAUUAAUCGUACACCCACCAUAGUGCCUAAUAUUGUUGAUCCAUACACUGUACGUGAAUGACGUAAAAUUAAUAAUUUCAAAGUUGCAUGGUGUAGUACGAACUAUGAUCGUAUUCACCUGCCACGAUUAAUUAAACUUAAUUAAUUCCUAUAAUUUUUAUUUUAUUUACAGAUUUCUGAACAAAGCAGCAUUAAUCCAAGAAGGCGAAGUCAACGAACACGGCAUGCCGUCAAACCCGAGGAGCCUAGUCAGCAUCCAAGAAGUUGAAGAAGUCAAAUGCCUGUUGAAAGUCAUACCGGUUUGGUCAGCCGGGAUCAUAAGCCUGACGGCCAUCUCCCAACAGGGUACGUUCACGGUCUCCCAGGCGAUGAUCAUGGACCGUCACCUGGGACCCAAGUUCGAGAUCCCACCCGGCACGAUGACUGUGAUAUCCCUAAUCGUCAUCGGCUUGUGGCUCCCUUUUUACGACCGGAUCUUGGUCCCUAGGUUGAGGAAGAUCACCAAGUACGAGACGGGGAUCACGCUCCUCCAACGAGUGGGGAUCGGGAUAGUGUUUUCUAUACUGUCCAUGGUCGUUGCGGGGCUGGUGGAGAGGGACAGGCGGGAGUUUUCGAACACGCACCCCGAUUCGCCUCCCUUCUCGGUGAUGUGGCUAGCCCCGCAUCUGGCCAUCAUGGGGAUGUGCGAGGCGUUUUUGUUCAUCGGGCAGAUUGAGUUCUUCAACAAGGAGUUCCCCGAGAACAUGAGGAGCAUCGCGAACGCGUUGUUUUCAGUGUCGUUCGCGAUUGCUAAUUACUUGAGCAGCGUGCUCAUCACGGUGAUUCAGAAGACCACUAGCGGAGGUGGGACAAAGCCCGAUUGGUUGACGAAUGAUUUGAACCGGGGGAGGUUGGACCUUUUCUACUUCGUCUUGGCCGGAAUGGGGUUGUUGAAUUUCUUCUACUUUCUGUUCUGCGCUAGCCGGUACCGGUACAAGACCAAGAUGACGAUCGUGGAUACGGAGGUGGGUGUCGACGGAUCAAAAUUGUCCUCGUUUCACGACGUAGAGAUGAACUCGUGCUAAGGUAGCUAGCUAAGUUGGUUAACUAUACAUAAAUGUGCAUGUUUAAUUAGCUAACUAGGAUUUAAUUAUAAUGCAUGGUAAAAUACUAUAUGGUAUAGCUUCUUAUGUGUUUGUGUUGGGCGGUACGUUAAUUGGCAUACAUUUGUAAAAGAGAGCAUAAAUAUGCAAUUAAUGAUACCAUCAUUAUUAUAGGUUAACAAAGUGCUACAAAUUUUUAUUCACAUUUACUCAAAAUUUCACUAAAUCGACCCGUCGAAAAUCAAUUAUAUAUAUACUUAAAAUUUAUUGAUAUUUUAAAUGAAAAAGAAUAAUCAGAUUUGAUCUCAAAACAAUAUCCUCUCUUUAAACUCGUACUUUGAAUUUAACCUAUAAAAAUCUAUUAUAUCACACACGUGAUUCAUCAUUAUACAAAAAGUUCCACUUCUAAAGUAGAUAACAUGAUGAAUUAAAUUAUGUGGGUCGGUGUAACUUUAAAUUAGAGUCAAGAUAUGUUUCCAUCAUUGAAAAAUAAGUGUACCCACCACCAUUGAUAAGGUAGUUCACAUAUGGUAUAUACACCUAGCUAAUAUAAUAAAGGUUGAGGCGUACUUAGUAGCUCAUAUAAUAAAGAUGAUAAUGUAAGUCAUGGGCUACUGGUCGAGGUAAGGUAUAAAGCAUCAAAGUAGUCCACUACCAGUUUUAGGUGCAGUGGUGUUUGAGGUUAUACUUGAAAACGUUAGGAGAUGAGUAAAACCUUAACCCCGAGAUCAUCUUCGAUAGGAUUAGUCAGCUAGUGAGUCAGAUACCAGAGUUCAAACCAAAAAAUGUAAAGUCGUUUAGUAGUCAAUUCGUUAUUUCACAAUCGUCUAAUGACUGUUUUCAUACGCUUUGCGGACUUGAGAGGAACUAUCGCGAACUCAUCGAUCCAAAUUAAUUUUUCAAAAUAAAAACGCUUAUUGGGUGACCAAUUUCAUUGAGCUAAAUAGUGGCUGAGAGUUGAGACCAAGCAUGGCCACACCAUAUAAUUAUUUAAUUUAAAAUGUGGCCACCCAAAAGAUUUUGGAUAUCAUCGGGCGACGACUUCUCAUAAUCAGAAAGCACUAGAAAACCAUGUUGGGACAUCAACUGUGUUUAUAUAUGUAAAUCGAACAGUGGCAAAUUGAUUGCGGUAGUGACUUCUUUGGUGGGCGGUGGUGACUAAAUUCAUUAAAAUGCUUUGUUUUCUUAUGACGUUGAACGUUCGCAUAGAAGAAGACAAAAAAAAAAACAGAUGAUGAAUUAUACAAUUUGAAGGAAAAUUGUGUAGUACAAUUUAAUGCUAGAAUGAUUCAAUUGAUUUAAUUAAGACUAACAAUUAUGAUUUAAAUUAGGAGGAGAAAACAAGCUCUUGGAAGGAAAUGUACUUACACUAUCCCUUUACUACUGGAAUAUUAUGACGACGUUUGAUGGUGAAAAUAUAAAAUAUAAUUUUGAACAUUUUCUUAUUUAAAUGGAAAUUUUAAUUUUAACAAAAUAUAUUUUAAAUUAACAUUUUUAUUUUUAUUAAAUUUCAUUCCGCAUCCCACUAAUAAACAAACCACUAUAAAAUACGUGAUAGCAUUGAUUUUCAUGGGGUUGGAUUUUGUCAUCAUCUGGUUAUUGUUUUGUGUGGGGGAUUUGUAUAGGAUAGUGACAAAAAAGAUACCCACUACUAGUUCAUCAUGAUAUAAAUAAAGAAAGCUGUAGCCAUUAACCAUGCAGUCGUAUUUUUCUUCAAAAUGAAUGAAUGAUAGCGAAACCCAACAAGAGAGUUUUACUGAAGACGAUGCGGUCGUUUUCUUAAUCUCUCUCCACCAUUUUGGAUCCGUUUAAAUUUUGACGUUAGUCUCCGUAAAGUAGUAUAAUUAAAUGUAUUGUUAGAAAUUUAAAGGUAUUAGAUUCGAAUUCAGCCACAUUUACAUAUGGUCACUUAUAAUAUGUUUAUUUCAUUUUAUUUUUGUAGGGGCCGUUUCACCUGAUUUAUCUUUCUGUACCAUUUUGAACCGAUUUAAAUCUUAAUACUAGCCGCUAAUUAAAUCAUAUUUUGUAAAUAGAUAGUUAGAAAGUUGUAUUUAUAUUCUUGCACUCAAAAGGGUGGUCUCAUCUUACAAAUAGAUAUGAUCCUAGUAAUUUUAACUAUUAAUAUGGUGCGAUUUGUUAAAAUAUCAUUAUAUAUUACGGUAAACAAACAUGUAUUUAUGAGGGGCUAAGUCCAUUCUUUGUGAGCUUUUAAGAUUGGUCGUCUAAGAGCUCCUAAGCCAUCCGGCUCAAACUAAGUCUAUUAGGGUCAGACAGCCAUAUUGAAAUGGUAAAUCCAAUAACGUCAACUUUUAUCUAGCCUUCUACCCUAACGUGCCUAAUAAAGGAAAAUGAAGAGGUUAUUAUUUAUUAUCAGAGACGAAACUAUGACAAGUUCAGAGAGGAAUAAAAUGCACUAAUCACCAAUGUUUCUAUAUUUUGGUGUGAAAUUAAAUAAAAAUAAUUAAGACAGCAAAAAAUAUCAUCAAGUUUGGGUUUUGGAUGGGCCCAUAUAGAAAUAUCAGUGGCCCGUUAAUAUUAUCGAUGCACACUAUAACGGGCCCAUCUGGCAUCUGGCCUGGUUAUCAUCCACGUCACUGACCUUUUUCCUCGUUGUUUUUUUUCAAUCAAGGGUUUCUCAUUUCGCUGUAAAAUUAUCGUAGAACCAGCUUCCCUACAAGCAACUACUUCAUCGAAGGGUAUUCUACUGUUGUCCUUCUCCUUCCGUCUGCUGCCAUGGUGAUCAAUCUUCACUCCUGCAUCAUCUUGAACCUUCCGUUUAACGCUGCUUAAGAUAGUCCAGUUUUCUUAUGUUUUCACUUCUGGAUGUUGUAUUCAGAUUAUUCUAGAGAAUAACAGGAGACAAGUCUCCAAGUACCUCUUUCAAGGUUCGUUCCAUGCUUUGUUUAGCUCACUAGAUUCCGUUGUAUUGUAUCAAUCCAUUCGUGAGCUGGAAAAUCAGGAAUUAGUUUCUGCUUACAAAUAACUUAGCAAGUGGGACAAAAUUGGGGUCUGAUGAAAGUGGAAACCUAACAUAGAUGCAUUUGGUUCUUGUGGAUUUGUUUGAUUAGCUUGUUCUUGGUGGUGAAAUCUUACUGUAGAUCGAACUGGUGAGAGUAACUACUAACUAGUCAAGGAGUAAUAUGAUAAUCAGAACUAUGAUAUUGUGGUAUGAGGUAGUGAUAGAACUUUACUAAGUUUAAUUUGUUUGACCCCAUCAGUACGGUUCCAGAAUACUGGAGUUUGUGCAUCAGUAGUAUAGUGGACGUUCAUUGAGACUGUUAUCUUGAUGAAAAUUCAUAUUUACUGGUUCUUGUGAGUUGUGAAUUGUUUAGUUACGUUGUUUUCUACUGAAUGGAGAUUGGAGAUCGAACCAGUGAGACCAACUAAUCAAUGUGUACUAUGAUGAAUAGUACCACUACCAUGAUAUAAUGGUCUAAAGUCGUAAUGGAACUGUACCUUGGUAAUCACCUAGGCUUAAUUUGUUUGAGAUCUGGACGGUUCCAGAACACUAGUUUUUUAUAGCAUUAAUGGUUUAGUUGUGCCCCUGACCUUCACCGAGAAUGUCCUCUUGGUGGAAAACCAGACACAUUGGUUGUUAUGAAUUGUUUGAUAUUGAAUAUUGAACUGGUCGAUGGAAUCAAUGUGGAUAUUGAACUGGUGACCACUCUCUGCGGUUUUUGCAGCUCUCAGAUCAAAGCCGACCAAAGUGGCGGCCUCCUUCACCAUCUCCAACUUCAUGUACUCCUUGCUUCAAUACCCACACUCCAGUGGUCACAUAUCUGCUGCCUAUUAUUCUACUGCCCGCCGCUCCAAAUGGAGCGAUUACUACACUGCCACACCGUACCACUUCACUUCCUUCAAGCCUGUUUCCCUCCGCGGCGAACUUGUUGAUAGGAGUUUCCGUGUGUUUGAGAGCGGUAAGGGUUUCCACAGAAAUUGGGGCGAGAAAUUGACCUCUUCUUCUAGUAAUACUAAUGGGUCCAACUAUGGGGAGCCACCGGAGGUGUGGCAGCCUCCUUCUUCAGCCCCCAGUGAUGGGAUUUCAAAAGUGAGCGAGUCGACUUUGAAUGCUCUCCGGGGAGGCAGAGGUGGAUCGGGUUCUUCUGGGACCAAUUUGAAGGACGGUUCCUGGGGUGGAGCCAAUAUGGGGAACAGUUUCCCGACACCCAAGGAAAUUUGUAAAGGUCUGGAUAAGUUUGUUAUCGGUCAAGAAAGGGCAAAGAAGGUUAGCUCCGUUCUGUUUAUUUGUUGACAGCAUUUUGAUGCAACUGAUAAUUAUUUGUCUUGUAUAUCCUGCUCAUUGUUUAGUUUUAGUAGUAUUCAUUUCCAUAUCCUAGAGCCUACUGACUUGCUUUUCCUGCUGGUGGUUAGAUGACGUCCUUGUGGCUGUACUUAUUUUAUUUACUGUCUUCAAUGCAGGUGCUUUCAGUAGCAGUUUACAAUCACUAUAAGAGGAUCUAUCAUGAAAAUGAAACAAUCCAGAGGUGUUGCACUUAAUUUCUUUAAUAUGUUUCAAGCUCAUUUCUUACUCAUGUAUGUCUUGGGAAAAUGCGGUGCAUCCUGGUUAGUUAUGUGUGUCCAGAGAUAAGGCAUGCACUGUGCAUUUGUGGUAGCUUGGGAGUUGGGAAUCUGAACAGUUUGGUUACCACUUGCCAGUAAUCAGAGACCGAUCUUAGUGAUAUCGUCAGCAUUGAUAACUAGCUUUGUUUUGUGAUACAUCGUGGUACUUGAAUCAGUAGUUUUUUCUGGGGUGGGGGUUUUCCUGAGAGCGGUAUCAUAUCUCAGUCUGUUUUGUAGUUAGUCCUUUUCAUGUUGAGGUUGAUCUGGUCCAGUGCAAGGUUAAUUAUGAGUGUGCCUUUUUUCCUAUCCGUAACAUGGCGUUACAACAUUGAAUGUUAGGUCCGCAGGAGAGGCAACUAACACCAAGCUAGAUAUUAUGGAUGAUGAUACAGUGGAGCUAGAGAAAAGUAAUAUUCUACUUAUGGGGCCAACUGGAUCCGGUAAUUAUCAGUGUCUUCUUGGUUAACCCUUGUGGACAAGUCUAAAUCAGGAAUUAUAAUGUUUGCUAUCUGUGCAACUCUGAGAACCUAUUCAAAUAUCUAUUUGACUCUGAGUUGCAUGUGUAUAUUUCUGUCUAUGCAUGAUACUGAAAGUAUUAACAUCAUUUCCCGAAAAUUGCGGGGAUGCUCAUGCUUGUGGCUAUACUUCAAGUAUUAAUUUUGGUUCUUCUGUGCAACAUUUUGCUGUCGUGGUUUUUUCUUGUAAUUUGGGCUCUUGUAGUUUUAUGCACAGACUGUCGUGGAUUUUUCUUACAAUUUUUAUCUGUCCUCUUAAAGUUCCAUAGCCCAUGAAGGUUAUUGUACUAGCUAGCUAUUUAAUCGAUUGAAUAACGUCUUCCUUGCCAACUCUCAGUUGCGGGUCUCACUUGUGUAUUGUUUUUAUGCCAUUUCAAGGACAGGGAAAACAUUACUUGCUAAAACCAUGGCACGGUUCGUCAAUGUCCCUUUUGUUAUAGCAGAUGCGACUACAUUGACUCAGGUAAUUUGGUGAUAAUCGCUGCAGUAGGUUGAAUACUAUGAAUAACUCAUUAUAGAUUAUGCAGGUGUUGUAUAGCAUGUUUAGUUCACUAUUCUACAAUAAGAUUAUAAUAGUGUUUCUCUCAAAAUGUAAAAUUCUUUCUGCAGGCUGGGUAUGUUGGAGAAGACGUGGAGUCAAUAUUGUAUAAGCUUCUUGUGGUAUUCUUACUCUUACCCUUUUUAACUCGUAUUGUUUUGAGUAACUACACAGAUAAACUCAGAGUGUUUAUCAGCAGUGCAAACUUGUAUUUUAGUCCAGCUUUUAUCUUUGUCUUCUUUUGUUUGGUCUAAAUGUUAUCUUCGCCUGAACUCUUCUGCCUCUUCGUCAUGUAUCAGGUUGCUGAUUAUAAUGUUGCAGCUGCUCAGCAAGGCAUCAUAUACAUAGAUGAAGUGGACAAAAUCACAAAAAAGGUUCCUUCAACCAUUUCUUAAAUGUAAUUAAUAGUUCAUGACUGAAUUGCUAAUUUUUUCUGCCACCCUACUGUUAUUUAUUUAUCUGAAUGUGUCAGGCGGAGAGUGUUAACCUCAGUAGAGAUGUGUCAGGAGAGGGUGUUCAGCAAGCAUUGCUUAAGAUGCUCGAAGGAACUGUAAGUGCUUGUGGUUUGAAGUGACGAGGACCAUUUUGUUUGCUAUAGAGACUGAUUGUGAUCUGUUGCCAAAAAAUAACAAUGGAAUAAUUGACCAAGCUCGUCAUUACAUUUUUGUUCUUUAAUGGCCAGAUUGUUAAUGUUCCAGAGAAGGGAGCUAGAAAGCAUCCUAGGGGUGACAAUAUUCAGGUAUGUAGAUGAGCCAUAUGAAUUUGCACUUCUUAGCGGUGGAUAUGUAUUCUGCCAAGAUGUUCUUUGCUCAACCAUAUUGAAUUGCAAGGUGUUUCUGUUUAGUAAAUGUGCUCAUCGUAUCUGUUUCCUUUGUUACCUAUAAUUGAUAUUUAACUCUGGCCUUCUUGUUUCCGCCCAUAGAUUGACACAAAGGAUAUACUCUUUAUUUGUGGUGGUGCCUUUAUCGAUCUGGAAAAAACCAUUUCGGAAAGGUAAAAUCAUCACACGGACUCAAUCUUUUCCUUCCUUUCGUUUUCAUCUGAAAUUGUAUGACUAAUGCAAGUUAUUGUUGCUUCAUCACAGGCGGCAAGACUCAUCUAUCGGGUUUGGUGCUCCAGUACGUUCAAACAUGAGAACGGGUGGUGUAACAAGUGCUACUGUAACAUCAUCCUUGUUGGAAACUGUAAGUAGGUUUCGGUUUUUAUUCAUCAUUACAAUCUAACGUUCUUUCUUACUCGUUUGGUGGAUUUCCCAUUUCUCAUCUUUUAUUGUUUUGGAUGCUGCCAUGUCAUCUAAACUUAAUUUUGUCAGGUUGAAAGUGGUGAUCUUAUUUCGUACGGCUUGAUACCUGAAUUUGUUGGAAGAUUUCCUGUUCUUGUCAGUUUGUCAGCUCUCACAGAAGACCAGCUUGUGCAGGUAAACAAGACAUUUGUUUGAGACUAAGCUGUACUCUUCUCGAUAUCACUGGCAUUAUGAUUCUACUGUUUCCUUGUUUGAUUUCAGGUUCUGACUGAGCCCAAGAAUGCCCUUGAAAAACAAUACAAGAAGAUGUUCGAAAUGAAUGAUGUAAGUAUUGGUUUGAUAUUUACCAUAGAGUUGCACUUGUACUUGAGGCGACUCUGAAUCUUUGAAGUUAUUAUCUAUUUAUCUUUAGCAUCCUUGAUGUGUAGGAACAAGCAGGAUCUUUUACUUAUCCAUCUUAGCAGCUUGCUUCUGCUUCUUAAUAAAUAAUCUUAUCUUUUUUUUUUCAGGCUAAGCUACAUUUUACGAAAGAAGCUGUGAGAUUAAUUGCUAGGAAAGCCAUAACCAAAAACACAGGGGCUCGUGGCUUGCGGUCAAUUCUAGAGAAUAUCUUGAUGGAUUCCAUGUAUGAGGUAUGUCCACACACUCUGCCUGCUGCUGUUGGGUAAUUGCUGUUUCUAGCAUUAAGGCUACAGAGUUCAUGGGAAACACGCUCUGAGUCCCAACUUGGCUCGUAACUCAAAUAGACUGAUACUCAAUGACUCACUGUUCGCCCACUAGAAAAUCUAAAAACUUGCAACCUCAUUGACCUGUAGUCCAAUCGUUUCCUGUCCCAAUGAACCUUUAACCCGAUUAACCCAGCUUGUGCCUGUUUGGCCGCUCUGUAGAUAACAGUUGUGAAUAAUCUCUUAACAUUAUGGCAUUGUGUAGAUUCCUGAAAUGAGAAGAGAGGAGGAUAUGAUAGAUGCAGUGGUAGUGGAUGAAGAGGCGGUUGGAAGCGGAGCCAAGAUCCUCUACGGUAAGGGCGCAUUGGACCGUUACCUAGCUGAACAACAGAGAUCACAAGGACCAGAGGUGAGUCAAUUAACAUUAGCCGCCUAGUUCUUUUUUCUCAGCGACACGCACAAAGAGUCGAUGUUCUUGUGUGUUUUGGUGCAGACGAGUGCGGAAGUGAGUAAUGCAGAGGCAGAAGUGGAAGCAGUUGCCAGCAUGUAAUGUGUUGUUGUAUUGUUUCAAAGGAGCAUGAUGAUUGAUGCCCGUUGAUGGUCACUUUGUACAUAUAAAAAUCAAACCUUUUUAUUACCUAAUAAGGCCUCCCCACAUAAUUAUACUUCUUCAUCUUCUUCAAUGUAAUGUAAAUGCUAUCUAACUUGUAUAGAUGCUGUAAAUGCUUUACGUUUGUUUUCUCUUUUCAAAUUUAUAUUUUGAGGUUGGAUUAUUAUAAGCACUACCCUAAACUUGAGAGUUGAAAAUAGUCAAAUACCCUUCAGCUCCAAAUGACCUUCUUUUAAAAUUCUCUAGUUUUUUUUGUUCCAAAUCACAUUUUCACUAAUGUGGAGAUUUUCUAGUUAGAUAGUAACCCACUUAACUAGUCCAUCAUUUGGCCUCAUCCACCUACACUCACCUCGCCUCACCCACCUACACCCACCACUAUCCAAAGAGCCGGUGUAUAUGGGUGAUAUGAAUAGUCACCCGUCAUGUUGAUGGGUGAAUUGGUUUUACGGAAAAAAUCCCACCUCUAUCCUUGAAUUUAGUCCGGGCUUGGGGGCAAUGCCCUGAUGUCGAUCAUUAACCUCUUUAUCUCCAAAAAUUAGCUUUUGAGAAGAGGAUGAAGAUGUUGUAAAUUUACGGCGGAGACUCUGGUACAUAUGUGUAUGUGGAACAUUUAACAUUAAAAAAAUUCAUUCCAAAAAUUUAAAACCAAAACAAUUCUCAUAAUUAGACUCUAAACACUUAUCACUAUGUUCUAAACCUUAAAUACUAAAUAAAAACCUUAAAACUCUUAAUUUGAAACAUAAUAUAUAACAAAAAUAUAAUUAAAAUUAAGUGUACCGUAUAUAUAUAUAUAUAUUAAAUUUUUUUCAUAAACUUAUAUAUAAUUAUAGUCCACAAUUAAUCAUCGUAAUAAUCGAUAAAAAAGAAUAAUAUAUAUUGACAAAUUAUCCCAAAUUAUCAUUCAAAUCUGGAACAGUAAUUUGGGCCUGCUCUUGGGUACUACUGUGGCCCAAGGAACCGCAUUCGUGCACUUGCUUCUCACUCAACAGUUUCGAGUCUCUACUUCUACUAUACAGCUGAGCUAAGCUGAGCUCACUCACUUUUAUUUUCAUCUUCUUGUUUUACUUUCACCCCAGCUGACUCAGCUCGGAACUCGCAGCAGAGAAACCCCUCUUCAUCAUCUCCUCCCUUCAAAUCCUUAGACCCCGCCGGAAUCCCUCUCAUUCUCCAUUUCGCCUCCGCUACCCUGCCGAGUAGCCACGCGAUGGACUCCUCUUCGGCGACGGCGUCUUCUUCUCCUCUCCACCUCGCCAUGGCAGCGCUAGUUGGAGCUUCGUUCAUGGCGAUAUCUGCCUUCUUCAUCCACAGGCGCUCCGUCGACCAGGUCCUCGAUCGUCUCAUCGAACUCCGCCGCGUCAAGAAACCUACCACCACUGCCGCCGCCACCAGUAGCCUUCGACGCGACUCUUUGAAGGAGGAGGAUGAUUUGAUGGAGAAUCCAGAAGAGGAGGACGAGAUGGAGUACGAAUCGAAAGUAGUACCCGCAGUGGAGCGGAGCAUGCUGGAAGAUAGCACCGAGCAGCGUGGAUAUAGUAGCAUAUCAUGCUCGCUGCCUAAUAAGGCGGUGAUUAACACCUGGUUUGGCGACGCCGUCGAUCCUUCGAGGAGAAAUGAGGUGGACAAUAUUCCUCCUGGGCUUCAGCCUUUGCGUACAGCUCCUCCACGGGACGGUAUUUUACUAGUUUCCGACUGUUUACAUUAAGUGGUGUGAUGAGAAAAACUAUUCGCUUAUAGGUCGAUUGGAGCCUGAGAGAUUGAUUGUGGUCUGUGUGCAGGGGAGAAUAGAUGCAUUCGUUACUCUGGUUCAAUGACAAGGAUGGCAUCUGUGGGGAGGAUUGCAGGAGCAACUCCUAGAUCACCUGCGGGCAAUGCCUAUGAGAGUUUAGGGGAUUCUGAGGAUGAUGGAACAGAGUUUGCCAAUGAAGAUGAUGUUCUCUCUGGAGAUGGGAAUAUGGAGUUUUCUGCUGAUUACAUGAAUGUAAGUGGGGAGAAUAUUGGUCAUUUUGUUCAGAUAUGUAAGUUUUCUACUAAUAUGAAUGAUUUUGCAGGAUCCUGAUGCAAGACUCCAAAGUGGAGCUGACGACCAGAACUCCUGUCAAGAGCAGAAUAAUAUAUACGCUGGGGAUGGAUCCAAAGCGGGCUCAGUCCAUAGUUAUGGAAAAGAAAUGGAAACAAUUAUAGCUCACCCGGUUGAGAAUGAUUCAUGCAUUGCGAGUUUACUUCGGAGGACUAUUGUACACGGUAUUAUCCAGCUCUUGCUUGCCAUGUGGGAUCAUUGUUUCGUAUUGUCUUUACUGGAUUAUUGAUGACAAUGAUGGUCUUGUGGUUUAUUCAUGUUAGGAGGUGGCAUACUAGCAUGAAUGUAUAUCUGUCCCAUAAGUGGCUAACUCUAAUAAAAGGUUUCAUGCUUUUCAUCUUAUGUGCAAAAUUUUGUUACUCAGACUCCAUAAACGCUGAAGAAGAAGAGGUGAGGAAGUUGCUCCGCGAGUGCCUGGAUCUACGCAGUAAGUAUGUCUAUAAGGAGAAUGUUGCUCCUUGGACGAAGGUAGCAGAGAAAGUAUCUGAUACCACACAGGCAAAGUCCGAUCCAUUCCAUUUUGAGCCUGUUUCAGCAACCGAGGUGGGUUAUGUUCAGUUCAUCAAAAUGAAGUUCUCAGCCGUAAAUAUUUUUCUUGUUGCGUUCUUUCUGAAACUCAUUAAACUUUUUUCUUUUGCAGCAUCAUUUCAGAAUGGAAGAUGGAGUAGUACGUGUUUAUGCCACUAAAAACGGUAAACUAUGAUUAGAUGGUAUUGCUUCUCUUGCCAAGAUUCUGACUCUUCGUCUAGGGAGGGAUUGAACUCUUGCGUUUGAACUCAAUUGUUGUUUCUUGCAUUUCAAUCCAGAUAAUGUAGAGCUUUUUCCGGUUGCCAGUGCGACAACUUUCUUUACUGAUAUGCAUCACAUCAUGAAAGUGAUGUCUGUUGGAAAUGUUCGAACUACAUGCUAUCACAGACUACGAUUCCUUGAGGAGGUCUGUACUCUUUUGAAUAUUGUUUCAGGGCAGCAUUUUACUAAAGUUUGGAUUGUGCUCGUUACUCAUAUUGAAAUACUAUACAGAAGUUCCGCCUUCAUCUGUUGGUAAAUGCAGACAGGGAAUUCUUGGCUCAGAAGGGGGCACCUCACCGUGACUUCUAUAAUAUCAGAAAAGUUGACACACACGUGCAUCAUUCUGCUUGCAUGAACCAGAAGCAUUUGCUCCGCUUCAUCAAGUCUAAGCUAAAAAAAGAACCAGAUGAGGUUUAUAGUUGAUAAGUGUCUAUGGUAUGGACGUUAGUAAACUCUGUUUUUGGCUUAUUUAACUAAUUUUUUUGUGAACUGGCAGGUUGUUAUUUUCAGAGACGGAUUGUAUAUGACACUGAAGGAAGUUUUUGAAAGUUUGGACUUGACAGGGUACUUAUUACCUUCUCUCUUUUGACAAUGCAUUACCUCUUUAUGAGUGUCGUUACCAUCUAAACUGAUCUACCCGUGUAUUCCAGAUACGACUUGAAUGUUGAUUUGUUGGACGUCCAUGCCGAUAAGACGACCUUUCACCGAUUUGAUAAAUUCAAUCUUAAAUAUAAUCCUUGUGGACAGAGCAGACUCAGAGAGAUUUUCUUAAAGCAGGAUAAUCUCAUCCAAGGUUAGACAUUAGAACAUGCUUUCCUUCCAAGUCCUUUUCUGGUUAUCUUUGGUACUACUACAUAUGAGACCAUGCAUCUGAAGUUUCGUUGAUCAGUAUUUUGAUAUUUCCUUUUCCACUUUUUUUCUAUCCUUGUUACAGGGCGAUUCUUAGCAGAAGUAACUAAAGAAGUUCUAGCUGAUCUUGAAGCAAGCAAAUACCAGGUUUGAAUUAUGUACCCAAGACACUAUUAGCAUAAAAUGUUUGUUCUUUGUUCUGUUACGUUCCUUUUAUCCUCGUGCCUCUUCUCAUCCCUUCAUCUGCAGAUGGCUGAGUACCGGAUUUCUAUUUACGGGAGGAAACAAAGUGAAUGGGAUCAGCUAGCUAGUUGGUUUGUCAAUAAUCAGAUUUACAGUGAGAAUGCUGUUUGGCUAAUCCAGGUAAUCCAUAAUACUUGCUUUAAUGCUUUUCUUCUCAUUGUUGGAUUAGGCUAUGGAAUGAUCAUUUAGAUGACUUGCACAGCUUUGUCCUUAUUUCUUCUAUAGGUUACUGAUGGGUUGUAGUUAUUCAGUUGCAUAUAUUAGCUUCUGUUUGGGUUGUCGUGCAUACUUAACUUUUGUCUUUCCUUCAACGAGCAGCUACCACGGCUAUACAACGUGUACAAGGAGAUGGGAAUAGUUAACUCUUUCCAGAAUAUUCUUGACAAUGUCUUCCUUCCAUUAUUUGAAGUCACUGUGGAUCCCAACUCCCAUCCUCAACUCCAUAUGUUUCUAAUGCAGGUUCGUGUCUCGUUAAUUUUUCAACUCUCGCCAAUGUAUGUGAUUUCCUGCCUUUUUGGUACUCCAAUUCUUGUCACCGUUGAACUAAUUACUUCUACGUUAACUCACUGGAUUCAGCGUUCUGUUAUGUUGGGGAUAAUGAUCGAACAAAAAAUUUCCUCAUUUUUUAUGUAGGUCGUGGGAUUUGAUCUUGUUGAUGACGAGAGUAAACCAGAAAGGCGUCCAACAAAGCAUAUGCCAAAACCAGCUGAAUGGACGAAUAAGUUCAAUCCAGCCUACUCUUAUUACACCUACUACACCUAUGCUAACUUGUAUACCCUUAAUAAGGUAAGAAAUGAAGCUUGAUCCCACUUGUAUUUCUUCAGCUGUUUAUUGAGGAUCCUUCAUUUUAUCGUGUGAUUUCUGAGCUUUCCCUUGUUUCUUUUCCAGCUUCGUGAAUCAAAAGGGCUACCGACGAUAAAGUUGAGGCCACACUGUGGAGAGGUUGCUAUUAUCUUGAUUAACGUCUCUCACCUGUUACUGUCAAUAAAAUCAUCAAGUUGUUAAUCAUGAAUAAUCUCCAGGCUGGCGAUAUCGAUCAUUUGGCUGCUGCGUUCCUUCUGUGCCAGAACAUCUCUCAUGGCAUCAACCUGCGAAAAUCCCCUGCUUUGCAGUAUUUGUAUUACCUUGCUCAGGUUUGAGACAUACACUACCUAAUUUGGAGGUCACUGAACCCUAGUGCUAAGCUGUUUUUUUGCUGAUUAAAAUCAACCUUUUCCAUGUCAUCGCCAGGUUGGCUUAGCAAUGUCGCCACUGAGCAACAAUUCCCUGUUUCUGGAUUAUCACCGCAAUCCAUUCCCAAUAUUCUUCCAGCGUGGCAUGAACAUUUCGCUCUCCACCGACGAUCCUCUGCAGAUUCAGUUAACCAAAGAACCUCUGGUUGAAGAGUACAGCGUUGCAGCAAAGGUUUGGUCACAGCCACUUGUUCUGUUGUGUUCAUCACCCGGGCUACUCCUGAUAUAUUAUUAACUUCCAUUACCUUCCUUCAGGUGUGGAAGCUAAGUUCAUGCGAUCUCUGCGAGAUAGCGAGGAACUCCGUCUACCAAUCUGGAUUCUCCCACGCAGCAAAGGUGAGAUUUAACUACAUCCCCUAAUACCAAUCUUCGAAAAAUGGAAAAAAUGUUUUCUCGAUUGAGGAGUGCUGAUCGUUGCCGAUAUAUCCCUGCAGGAGCAUUGGCUUGGAAACGACUAUUACUUGCGAGGACCGGAAGGAAACAACAUUCACAAGACGAACGUGCCCAAUAUUAGAAUCACCUUCCGACACGAGGUAAAAAGCUUUAUGAACCCUUUCGAUCAUCACUCCAUCAGAUAUGUACCACCAUACUAACUCCCCGAAAUGAUUUGUGGCUCCCCCCUCCAUAGACAUGGAAGGAAGAGAUGCAGUACGUAUACUCAGGAAGAUGCAGGUUCCCUACCGAAGUAGAGCUUUGAAAGAGACUGCAGUGCGAUCACCAUGAAAAUGCGGUCUCUGCAGUUCUCCACCAAAGUAUAAUCGAUAAUCAAUUUUGACUUGGGUUAUCGAUUUUUUCCUUCUGGGUUUUUGUUAUGUUAUGUUGAAUAUUUCGAGUUUAUUUAUUGUACUGAUUCGAGUUUAAGGUCCAUGGUUACUAGGUGGAAGACCUAUGAUUAACGUUCUCUGGAUUAGCUGAUGUGCUUGUUGUUAUGAGUUCUAUUAGGAAUAAUUAGCUAACAUUCUGCACUUGAGAGCUGAUAUGCACAAUCAAACGAGCUUUGGAAACUUCGAGAGCCGAUAUUUCACUGUCUCCUAACAAAAGCUGAACACAACGCCCAAGUUUAGCUGCACCCUUACUUCCCGACACCCUUUAUCCUACGGCAAUUGUAAUCUUGCAUAUCUUCUCUAAAUUUGGUUUUGGUGAUCGAACAUAUCUUUAAGUUCAUGGGGAACGUUACCAAGCAAUUACCGUCAAUAUCUCGGAACGAACCUCCUAUAUGUGCUCAUCUGAUCUCAAGAAAAACAUCUAUUUGAAUUGCGAGCGAUCCACCUACAUGAUGGUGAUGUCAACCAAGAUGCAUCCAUCACCUGUCUUAAUAUAAAAACUAUUGACUGAUUGGUCACAUAUCCAAUAGCGGGAAUUAUUCCAUGGAACAUAAUUAAUCAAGAUCUUCUGCUAACGUGGGUCAAUAAUGCAACUAUAAGUCCAGUCCGCUAUCAUUUUGGGCUUAGAUCCAGUGAAUUGUACAGGCCCAAAACUUCCAGUUUUACCAAAAUAAAAGUAAUAAAUACUCGAGAUAUCCCUUCAUAAAUUCACAUGACUGCUCUGUACACUCUCUAAUCAAUCAUAACAACAGAAAAAGAAGAAAACCCCAAACCCCAAAACUCUUCCCCUUCCUCAAUCUUCCUCCCGCCGCUUCUCUUCCCCCGCCGCCGUCUCUCUCCGGUGGUGCUUUACCGCUCAACAAUGGCGUCCACUCCUGUCCCCGAAUCCGCUGACGGCCCAGUCCUCAACCUAAUCAACAAGCGACUUCGCGCCCUCCGCAAGAAACACAACAGAAUCAUCCAGAUGGAAGAAUCCCUCGCCCAAGGGAAGCCGCUCAACAAGGAGCAAGAAGAGGUGCUUCGCUCUAAGCCUUCCGUCACCGCCUCAAUCGAGGAGCUCGAGAAGCUCCGCCAGCCUCUAUCCGUCGCCGUCUCCGAGGAAAUCGACAUCGCCAUAAAGAACAUCAAGACUCCGGCGCCGGCGGAGAAGAACGGCGAUGUGGAGCAGGUGGAGAAGGUGAAGGAAGGGAGUGAGCCUAAGUCUGAUGAUGCUAUCGAGUCGAUGGUCGGGGAUCUCCUCAACUUGCUCUACUUUGGAGCUCUGUUCGACGUGAAGUCGCAGAACGAUUUCACAGCCACGAUGUUGACCAGGACUCACGAGAGAGGAUGCUGCUUGACUUACGAUUACGUCACCGACGAUGCUACCGAUCUGCUGAGUGAAAAUGAUUUGGACUUGAUUUCUUCCCUCAGUGGAUUGCUUGUUUCUCGCCCUCUGGAUUCCAGUUUGUCGCAUAAGAAUGCUCUCCAGCACUGCGUUGAGCAUGCUAAGCUGUGGCUGGCUAAUUCUGAUAACUCUUUGAAUGACAAUGCCAGGGUUUCCUGUAAAUAACUGAAUCCUUUCUUUGUUAUGCAUUUGGUAGGUCGGUUUCAGUUUUGUUAAUUGGGGAUGUUUUUUGUGUGUGUGAUAGAUGCAGGAUUGAGGGAAAGGCUUAACAAGAUUAUGGCUUCUGACUAUUUUACCACGACGCCGGAGAGAAAAGCACCAGUGGAGGUUGGAAAUUUUGGUUCUUUCCAAGUUCCGGUUCAGGUAGAAGGCCAUACUGUAGACUACCAGCAACAACAGGUACUAUCUUGUUUGUUUCUUGCCAGUUCAAUGCUUAUGUUCAAAGUUUGUGUCUGUUUCCUCUCUCUGGUUAUUUUUACUAUCGGUUGCUUGUGAAGUUCAGUUAUUUUGCAAUUCAAAUUCUUGAACUUAGUAUCUCUAGUCAUAGUUGUUAUCCAUAGACUUUGUUGAUUGACUAUGGAAGUAGAAAUUAGAUCAACUGUGUUCCUCUAUAAUCAAACAGAAAUAUGAAGUUUGCUUGUGUUCCGUAGCUAACUAUCGAGUUAUACUCCAUAAUAUUGGAAUUAGGAUAAGAAUGGUUGUGCAGGGUUGAGUUUUGUUAACCUUUGCAUUGAUAUCUUUAGUACUGAUAGGACAUUUGCAUGUGUGGAGUAAUAAUCAAUUGCUGACAGUUUGCCAUUAUUGUUGAAGAAUCCCAACUGUAGAAAUACUUGCUUUUUUUCUGCAUUGUACGUUGCUGCAAACUUGUUAGUAUAUUUGCAUUUGCAGUCUGUAUAUGAUCAAGCUUGAUGGCCUAACGAUGUCCUCGUUAAAUUUGCGUAUGAGUGGGUUUGAAAAUAGUUCUCCGAAGGGAUCUUAGUGGAAUUUUCAUUUUGCAUCCCUUUGCAUAUUCAUUCUAGUUUUGGUUUAACCUUUGAACUCUGUGCAGCAUGAGGAAGCAACUAAUGCCCAAGGACAAGAAUUCAGUGACGAUCAGUCGAGUCGUGCUGAGGAACAAGUUCACAAGGUACAAUAGCCUGGAGAUGUUAACUUCCUUUCAAUAAUAUUCACACAUGAUUCGCUCAGCACUGUUGUUCCCCUUGCAGGAUGAACCCGAAGUGGAACACCCUGGAGAAACUGACCCGAGUCAUCAGGAAGAAACGAAGCCUUCACCGCAACUGGAGCAUAACCAACAAGAUGCAGCAGACUCUACAGAGCAGCAACAGUAUGGCAACCGGAGGAAUUACCCGCACCAAAGAGGUGGUGGUCGUGGAAGUAGUGGCGGCGGUCGUCGGGGUGGUUAUCAAAACGGCCGUGGAGGACGAGGCAGUGGCAGGGGAGGUGGCAAUGGCGGUGGCCAAUACAAUGACCAACCUGCGAACUAUUACCCUAGGAGUGGCGGCGGUCAAUACUACAACAACCGAGGAAGAGCUGGCGGGAGAGGUGGUAAUAACAGCUACCAUGCCUCUGCGGGUAGCGGCAAUGGCAACGAGACGGGUGUGUCCUCGUGAAUGCUGCAAUGAACGAGACUCGAUCGAUGAUAUCUCUAGGCUGUCUGGUUUUGUAGAUGGGUUGUGAAAAAACCCACAGUACCUUUUUUGUGUUUGAGCAGGUGCUAUGGAAAACUAAUUGUGAACAUGGGUUCUCUCUAAUGUUUGAUGAAUCUUCCCCAACGUACUUAGUCUCUGUUUUGUAGCCCAAACUUGUAGGGAACUUCAAGGAAGAAAAAGAAGGGUCUUUUUUAUCUCAAAGUUUGUUGCUUGAAUGAUGUGCUCCGAAGGUUCUUCUGACUUCUGAGAUGCUAGUCUUAUCAUUAUACUUAGAAAUGGUUUCCAGGAGAUUCCCACUUACUGAGAAUAAGAGAAGAUGAAUUGCAAGUGUGUUGAUAUCAACUUGUUAAACUAGGAGUCUUCACCUGAGUUCUCCACUCUGCAGAGUUGCUAUCAGAAGAGAGAAAUCAUAUUCUUCUUGUAGACCCUUUACAGCAAUUCCCCACUUUCAUCUCCUCUAUAUAAACCAAACUCCAAACACCAUUCGUUCUCAAACAAAAACUUAGACCGUUUCUUAAAGAACACAUACCAAACUCUAAACACGGUUCCUCCUCAAACCGAAACUGACACAAUUCCUUAAAGAACACAUGUUUCUUCAAACAUGUCUUCAAUUAUGAGAAUCAGCACUACUAGCCUUACUGACCUCCAUUCACAACAGAAGCAGCAGCACCAGCAGCUCGUUGAAGUGCGUUCUUUAUCACACUGGAAAUCCUGCCUUGAAUCCUCCAGACGGAACAACAAACUUGUAAGAACCAUCAGCUAUGAGCUGUAUCUUUUUCCUCCUGAGUAAAAAGUUCUGAUCUUUGCAAUUUUUUUGUUUUUGUUUUUAUGAAGUUGGUGGUGGAUUUCACUGCUGCAUGGUGUGGACCAUGCCGAUUCAUGGAGCCAGCGUUGGGGGAGUUUGCGGCAAAGUAUCCUGACAUUGAGUUCAUCAAGAUCGACGUAGACAGGCUACCGGUAUGAACAAUCUGCCACCAAUGAUACCGAGUUCAUCAUUUUUGCUGUGUUUUUUUCUUUUCUUUUUGGGUGGCUGAUAUGGAUUUCUUUAAAUUUUGUGUGGAAAACAGUCAGUGGCUAAAGAAUUUGAGGUGCAGAUAAUGCCAAUGGUGGCUGUGGUGAGAGGAGGCAAAGAAGUAGUGGAUAAAGUUGAAGGUGUUAAAAAGACUGAGCUUCAGGGCAAGAUUGAGAAACACAGGGCACAAUUCACUUGUUGAAGAACCAAGCAUGAACCAAUAUUUGAGUUGCUAGCACAAGGAAGAUUACUACACCAACAUAGCUUUUCUUCGGUUAAAAUUAUGGUUUUAAGGUUUUGGUCUAGUGAUUGAUUUAUUUGUGAUUCAUAAGAAUUCAAUGGAUAAUUAUAUGUUGCGAGUAUAGAUGUGGUACGAAAUAUUUGUAGCAAUUCCUAUGCGAAAAUAUUUGGAACUAACAAACUCAAUCAUUAAUUUUGUAUCAAUUUCUUAUUUGAGAUAUAGACACGUGCAUUUGAUAUCAACAUAAAAAAUACAAUAAAUAUAACGUUGUGUCCCAAAAAAAAGCGAAUACUAGAAAAAACUUACGGCACAACUCAUUUCCUCGAGAUUAUAAUCAUUUUAAUCUUUAUGAUUCAUAUCUGUCAAAAUAAAAAUGAUGUAACAAAUGGAUUCCUUUAUACUUUUCAUAUAUUUUGUGUGGAUGUAAGCCAAAGUCUAUUAAUGGGCAUAGUAUUACUCAUAUCAUAUCAUAUGAUAGAAAUUCGAUUACAUAGAAAGGCAACAGAUUCGAAUCUGGGCUCUUCUCUCAUUUUCCGCCGCCUAUUUUUCCAGGUCAGCAACCGUAAUCCGUCGAGGAAACGCCGCACUCCGCCUCUCUGUUUCGUCUUCUUCUUCUUCUCAGGGAAACGCAGGAGCGGGACAUUUUACAUACUCUACAUGACAAUAAAUAAACCAGAACCAACCAAUCAAGUGGAAGUAAAGAACAUUCAAUAAAUCAAAUCCUCAGUCAUUUGCUUUCUCACUUGAUUUUCUGACUGUCAUCCUCCAACAAUCGUCAAAUGGAAUCCAGUUCAAGGUCAGGGCUCAACCCUGAACUGGAGCUGGAGUUUGGGCCGAUGUGGGAUGGAAAACAGGAAACCAAAAAUGGUAAAGCAAGUUAAUCGAUGGGCGAUGAAUAGGAUAGGAUCAGAGUAAUAGGCUUGGAUAUUUCUCCGGCGAGGGAGGAAUAAAAGUUGCGCACAGUAUAAUCAGAUUCGAUCAUCUGGGGAAAUAAUCAUCACAUCCAUCCAGUACAAAAGAACGAAAACAAUUCAACUGUCAAUUUGAAAGGAAGAAACAAAGCGAGAAGAAAGCUCAGAUAUUUAAAAUGGGUAAAGAGAAGGGUUAUCAGCACGCUGUGAAAUCAGAGUGGUGCAUGACUAUUCUCAAUCAAAUAUCAUCACUGCAAAAGAAAAAAACACGAAGGAAAAUACAGAGUAACCAUUGACGAGAAGAAAAACAUGGGUUGAUAAAACUAGAGGAUGAACUUAGAAGCUGCGUUCGGGGUAAGUAUUUAUACAAAAAAAAACCCUAAUCGGCUACAGCUGUUACCUACUUCAUCGCAUCCGUUUCUUCACGACGUAGUAUUGACCGAUCAAAAUUCAAACAUUUGUUGCUCCAUUUCUUUGGUCUCUUUUCCUGAGGAAAUAGAGCAGAACAACAACACAGAAACCUACAGCGACUACAGUUCCCCCAGCAAUGUGUGCCGCUACGAAACUACCUGAAUCGGUCCGCCAUGCACCACCUGACCCACCAACGCAGCGAUCCAAAGGCGGCCCACAAAGUCCCGGAUUGUUUGCAUAGUUUUCUGGAGGGAUUGUGGGAUUCCUGAAACUUGGGACAGGCCCAACCAGACGGUUAUUCGCAACGUUGAAGGUCUUGAGUCGAUGGAGAUUGGCCAUCUCUCCAGGAAUCGAACCACUGAAUUGAUUAUGGUCAAGAUUCAGGACAUUCAAAUAGCUACAGUUGGCAAAAUUUGCUGGAAUUGGCCCCGAAAACCUGUUGGAAGACAGGUCCAGAGAUGUUACCCAACCUACAAUAUAGCAUAUUUUUUCAGGAAUUGGUCCUGACAGCUCGUUGUUUGAAAGAUCCAGGCCUGUGAUUCCGGUGCAGUUCUUGAGGCCAACAGGGAACUGGCCUUUGAGACCCAUGUGAGCGAGGCGAAUGUUCAUCACCUUGUUCUCGUCAGGAUGCCAACAAUCGACUCCGGUGAACUUGCAGAUGAAGCCUUCAGUGUUGUUGUUGAAGUUCCACGUAGAUUUGAGGUGGCCGAAAGGGUCUUCAAGGGAAUCUUUUAUGGACCUCAGGCAAUCAAUGUCGGAGUAAAAACCCUGGCUCAACGUCCCACUACUCACAAACACUAUAUGUAUGGAGAGUAGUAGUAUUUUGUUGAUCAUCUUGGGGAAACCUGAAGCCACAUAUCAAACGAGUGAGAAAAUUUAUGCAGAGGGAAAUGCUUAUAAAGCAAAAUUCACAAGCAGAGAACAACCUAGAGCUAGUUGUUAGUCUGAAAAUUCAGAGAGAAUGAACAAGUCAAUUACGUACGUUUUGGGUCUGUGGCUUGUGAAAUUUCCUGCACUUUUUUUUGUCCAUCAAGACUUUGAACAUGGAGUCAUCAUCACUGGCGCAGUGUGUACUGCUUUCAUUUCAAUUUUUGUAAUUUACAUCAUCUCCAUACUAAAAAUUAAUUAACAAUUUUUAAUAAAAUUUUUGUCACUACAUCAACAACUUUACCAAUAAAAUGAUUCAACCAUUUUUAAUCUCCUCCAUUAUAAUGAUUAACAAUUUCUAUUCAUUUUUACAAAUAUAUGAAAAAUGAAUCAAUAAUAAAUUAUUAAAUAUUAUUUAUCUUCGGUUUAUUUCUUAUGCAUAAAUGCAUUUCUUAAAAAAGUUACAAUUUGUUUAUGUCACAUUAUUAAUUGACUGGCUAAAUUAAUAAGCUUAUUAAUUUAGAAAGUAUAUCUACAUCCCUAACAAUUGCUUAUUGGAUGACUAAAAAAUAGAGAUGAAGAUUCUUAGUGAAUUUCGUCUAAAUUUAUUAUUUUGUAUUAAUUUUUAUCUAUUAAUAUCAGACGUGGCAAUUUUAAUAAUUGUGUUAUUAUUAUUGGGAAGAAUAUCAAUCUUAUUUAUUAAUUAUUUUUGUAAAUAGUUAAAAGAUUACAAAGUGAGCAACUUUAUUAGAUGGUCAUGUAUAAGAAUCACAAAUUCCAUAUCACAAUCUAUGUUAAAUUUUGAUUGAUGAAUACUACGUCGUUUCAAAGCCUGUGCUUUUCAAUCUUAGUCUGAAGUUCAUUCUUCUUAACUCCUCCAACCUUAUCAACCUCUUUCCCCUUCUUGAUCAGUGCAAAUCCUGGCAUUAUCUGGACAUCAAAUUGACCGGCCACCCUCUGCACAAAAUUGUAAAACGUCGUUUAACAUUCAAGUGAGAUCAAUAGAGAAACCAUGCAUGAUCGAUCGAUCGACACACAGUUAGCGAAAGAACGAUCGUAAUAUACCGGUAAUUUGUCAACAUCGAUUUUGAUGAACACGACAUCCGUGUACUUAGCAGCAAACUCUGCAAUGACCGGCUCCAUAUGUCGACACGGUCCACACCACGUCGCAGUAAACUGUACAGCCAACUAUAUACAUCACCAACCAAGAAACCAAACCAGUUAGAGGAUGGACUAAUUAUUAACACCUACUCGAAAAACAUGAUGAAGAAAGAGUGUCCCUUACCAACUUGUUAUUAUCCUUGGAAGAAUCAAAGUAGGUCUUCCAUUGGCUUGCAGAGUUAACCUCCACCACCAAAGAUGGCUUCUCCAUCAAGGCCGGUUCGACGUUCCAUGGAGUAGUUGAAGACUGGACCUCAACGAACCCCGAGGAGGGAACCGGCUUCUUGUACGAGUAUGAUCCAUGGUUGGGGAAGUUGAAGCCCAUGGAGCUUCUCUGGAAAUGAGGGAAUCCGUAACUCAUAGUUGAUUAUAUUGUGUUUUUUUGUUCUUCAAUGCUUAGUUUGUUGAGGAAUUAACAACACUCUGUUGGCUUGGACCAUGCUUAUAUAGAGCUCUUACUGGCCGCAAAUUUGAACAUUUUUUGCAACAAAAUUGGCCACUGGGGAAGUUGGAAGAAUAAGAUUCUUUUUAAAAAAAAAUCAGAUUGGUUUGCAAUUAAUUUAAUUUGGUUACAUUUUAAUGCGUUUGUCAUGUUUAAUUUAUGACGCGUUGAUUAUAUUCUCCAACAAUUAAAGUGGAAAUCAUUAAUUCACUAGUGAAAAGGGUUUAAAGAGACAAGGGGAAAGAAAAUUAAAGGGAUGGAAUGUUGGGAGAAUUUCGUUGCAUAAGGAUGAUUAAACGUUGAUUAAGAAAAACCUUAUUUGAUUGUAAUAACUAAAACGAGUAAAAUGUUGAAAACUUUGUGGAAUUGGGGCAAUUAAUUGGCCAAUGUACUUUAGUCCGGUUUGACAAAGCUCCGAUGUUGGUUUAGGGUCAGAACUCCGUACAAGGAUGUCUUAUUCAUCGUCUUUCGACAAUCACUUGUUACCUAAUAGUAAGUCAUUUGAGUAUUAAGAUGAGAAUCUCGAUUUUUAUCUAGGCCACGCUAUAUCAAUUAGUAAAUUCAAAUCAUAUGGGUGGGGAAAUUCAGUAUUUGAUUCUGAUUCUGGCAAAAGGGUACUGAAGAUUGUUGAUCAUCUGCCUCCAUGGCCGGCUCCUAAUUCCACUCAUUUGCUAAACCCUUUUAAGCAUGAGCUAAAAUUGGAGAUUUGUUUGUGUUUUCUAUUAAUUUGUAUAAAUGCAGUGGUCUUUCAAUUAACAAAAACUUUAACAAGAAUCAUUAGAUGGAAAGAAAUAAACAUUCAUUCAUAAACGUUUAUUUAUAUGAUGUGAUUGAAUUUGAAUUAAUCGCACACAACGCUACCAAAUAUACGGAAAAAUGCCUCGAAACAUUGAUCGGGGAAUAUUGGAAGAAUUCCCUUCAUAAGAAAGCAUGAGUGAUGACUCCAUAUGUUCAAAGUCUUCAUAAAUGCAGGAAAUUUCCUAAAGCCACAGACCCAAAACGCACGUAAAUCACUCUUACUAAUUCACUCGAGGUUCAAACUAACAGCUUUGGCUUGUUCCUCUGGUUUAUAACCAUUUCUCUUUGUAAACCCAACACCCACAAAUUCAUUGUACAGUUUCCAAGUCUCUCAGGUUUCUCAUCUCUCAGCAGCCCUCAGGUUAGUCAGCUUAAUUAGUCUCAUUACUGAUCCAAUCUGUUCAUCCUUUAUGUUUAUAAGGCUUUAGCAAUGGUGGAGGAAUCAUUAAUGAGCUUGAUAAUUCCAUUUGCCAGAAUCAGAAUCUCAUAGAGAGAAAUGUUUCCAUUCAUUCAACGGCUAUUAUUAAAACAAUAACAUUUCAAACGAUUACUAUCUGAUUACUUAAAGAAAUGUAGCAUCAUGAUAAAUAUAAUCAAUUCAAUUAAAAUCCACAGCAUCCAAUCUUUGCCAUUUUGGUUUCUGCGGCUCAGAAAUAAAUGCAGCAGCACUGCAGCUUAUCUGUUGAAUAAAAGAAUCUUAUUCUUCAACUUUGUUUAAAUUUCGGCCACUACGGCCUCCAUCUCUGUCUGUAUAUAAGCAUGCUUCAAGCAGACUUACAAUUCCCAACCCAGAGUAAACACAAACCUUAAGCUAUGAGUUACGGAUUCCCUAAUUUCCAGAGAAGAAGAUCACCAAUGGUGGUGAGCUCCAUGGACUUCAACUUCCUCAACCAUGGAUCAUACUCGUACAAGAAAUCGAUUCCCUCAUCCGGGUUGGUUGAGGUGCACUCUGCCACUAAGCCAUCUUUGGUGGUGGAGGUUAACUCUGCAAGCCAAUGGAAGUCCUACUUCGAUGGUUCCAAGGAUAACAACAAGUUGGUAAGUGACGCACUCUUUCUUCAUCAUGUUUUUUCGAAACCAAUCGUCUAACCGGUUUGGUGGUUGGUGCGUGGAUGUAGUUGGUCAUUCAGUUUACUGCAACGUGGUGUGGACCUUGUCGACAUAUGGAGCCGGUCAUGGCAGAGUUUGCUGCUAAGUACGCGGAUGUCAUGUUCAUCAAGAUCGACGUUGACAAGUUGCCGGUAAUUGUUGUUACUCUCGUUUUUUUUCGGCUGGGUCGGUAUAUAUAUAUGACUAGGGUGACUUAAAGUGUACGGUUUGCUUAUGCAGUCUGUGGCUCGUCAGUUUGAUGUCCAGAUAAUGCCUGGAUUUGCACUGAUCAAGAAAGGGAAAGAUGUUGAUAAGGUGGGAGGAGUUAAGAAGAAUGAACUUCAAACCAAGAUCGAAAAGCACCGGCUAUAAAAACGACGUAGUUUUGAUCGAGCAUUCGUUAUAAACUGACGUGGAAUUUGUUGGAGAGGCAUCACACAGGCAAAGCAGAAUAAGACGGUCCAAAAUUGGAUUUAUAAUAAUCUUUUCUUAAGCCAGAACUAGGCAUCAUUUGUAUUUCAUAGCGUUGCGUUCAACAUUAAUCAAAUAACACUGCCAGUUUUUUUUCGCAGAGGAGUUGUUUCAGUGGUAGAAUGUGUGUUUAAUUAUCCAAAAGGUCUAGAUUCAAAUUAAGUAUACCCCACGAAAUGGAUAUCAAUUUAUUUCAUAUCUUCUACUAGAUCAUGCCUGGCCUAUUGGCCGAAAAGCAAACGAACGAAAACACCGUUCGUUUGAAAAAUUCUAAAAGAAAGACAUAGAUUUUUUCGUGAUUAAUGAAACACAUAGUUAGCAUAAAUAUUGUACAAUCCUAAUUCAUGUGUUUUUAGCAAUGUUCAAGAGGCAUUAGGCACAAGGUGGGCAUUGGGGUCUUGCCUAGUGCCUAGCUCGUCUAGGCGUCGCCUAAGCGAGCCUAGGCGUUAAUACGAAAAUGUAACAAAUAUUUAGAUUCAACCUGAACAUCAAACAUAAGUAUAUAACAGUUCACAAAAUUACAAUUUUGUAACUAACGAAUUUCAUAAUUCAAGUUCUCUAAUAAAAGAAAUCAAGCAUAAAUAGCACGAUAAAAUGAUAAAAUAAGCCAUAAAGGCAAUUAUAAGCUCAUAGCCACUUUGAUCACUUGUCUUCAGCAUCAAUAGAGGUCCGUCCGCCGCUUAAUUCAGAGAUUUUUCGUCGCUUAAGUUAAGAAGAAAUUAGGGUUUUUGCUGUUUUAGUAAUUAAUUUUUUAUUAUUUCAAAAAUUUCUACCGCUUAAUUCAAGCCUAGUUAUUUGCGGAGCCCUAGACUAAGAGAUUUUUCACCGCCGAGCACUUAAUCUCGCCUAGGCUCGUCUUCUUGAACACUAAUUUAUAGGCAGAAUCCUAAAAAAUUAGUAGCAUGUGUAUUACCAUGGCACCAGACACAUUAAUUUAUAAAUACUUCAAGAUCUUAACGUAAUUUUAUAAAUUUAAGAAUCCAUAUUAUAUGUAAUUUGAAUGAUAACUUUAACUAUUGUUAUGGUUACUGAACCAAACCAAAACGGGUGAAACCAAGUAAAAUCAGUAGAGUACUUUUAGGGUGUGUGUAGACAUAAAAAUUGUUAAAUACAUGUACCGAUAAGAUAUGGAUAGUAAAGUACCAUAUGUUAACCCGUAAUGGGUAGCGCUACGAUGCCUCUACCAAACAGGGAUUGUAGCCCGUGCAAUGCUACGACACCAAGCACAUUAUCUUGUUUUUUCCUAUUUUAUUUGGGGAAGGUUUUGGAAAAGAAAAAGGUAUUCUUANNNNNNNNNNNNNNNNNNNNNNNNNNNNNNNNNNNNNNNNNNNNNNNNNNNNNNNNNNNNNNNNNNNNNNNNNNNNNNNNNNNNNNNNNNNNNNNNNNNNNNNNNNNNNNNNNNNNNNNNNNNNNNNNNNNNNNNNNNNNNNNNNNNNNNNNNNNNNNNNNNNNNNNNNNNNNNNNNNNNNNNNNNNNNNNNNNNNNNNNNNNNNNNNNNNNNNNNNNNNNNNNNNNNNNNNNNNNNNNNNNNNNNNNNNNNNNNNNNNNNNNNNNNNNNNNNNNNNNNNNNNNNNNNNNNNNNNNNNNNNNNNNNNNNNNNNNNNNNNNNNNNNNNNNNNNNNNNNNNNNNNNNNNNNNNNNNNNNNNNNNNNNNNNNNNNNNNNNNNNNNNNNNNNNNNNNNNNNNNNNNNNNNNNNNNNNNNNNNNNNNNNNNNNNNNNNNNNNNNNNNNNNNNNNNNNNNNNNNNNNNNNNNNNNNNNNNNNNNNNNNNNNNNNNNNNNNNNNNNNNNNNNNNNNNNNNNNNNNNNNNNNNNNNNNNNNNNNNNNNNNNNNNNNNNNNNNNNNNNNNNNNNNNNNNNNNNNNNNNNNNNNNNNNNNNNNNNNNNNNNNNNNNNNNNNNNNNNNNNNNNNNNNNNNNNNNNNNNNNNNNNNNNNNNNNNNNNNNNNNNNNNNNNNNNNNNNNNNNNNNNNNNNNNNNNNNNNNNNNNNNNNNNNNNNNNNNNNNNNNNNNNNNNNNNNNNNNNNNNNNNNNNNNNNNNNNNNNNNNNNNNNNNNNNNNNNNNNNNNNNNNNNNNNNNNNNNNNNNNNNNNNNNNNNNNNNNNNNNNNNNNNNNNNNNNNNNNNNNNNNNNNNNNNNNNNNNNNNNNNNNNNNNNNNNNNNNNNNNNNNNNNNNNNNNNNNNNNNNNNNNNNNNNNNNNNNNNNNNNNNNNNNNNNNNNNNNNNNNNNNNNNNNNNNNNNNNNNNNNNNNNNNNNNNNNNNNNNNNNNNNNNNNNNNNNNNNNNNNNNNNNNNNNNNNNNNNNNNNNNNNNNNNNNNNNNNNNNNNNNNNNNNNNNNNNNNNNNNNNNNNNNNNNNNNNNNNNNNNNNNNNNNNNNNNNNNNNNNNNNNNNNNNNNNNNNNNNNNNNNNNNNNNNNNNNNNNNNNNNNNNNNNNNNNNNNNNNNNNNNNNNNNNNNNNNNNNNNNNNNNNNNNNNNNNNNNNNNNNNNNNNNNNNNNNNNNNNNNNNNNNNNNNNNNNNNNNNNNNNNNNNNNNNNNNNNNNNNNNNNNNNNNNNNNNNNNNNNNNNNNNNNNNNNNNNNNNNNNNNNNNNNNNNNNNNNNNNNNNNNNNNNNNNNNNNNNNNNNNNNNNNNNNNNNNNNNNNNNNNNNNNNNNNNNNNNAUUGUUAAUGGGAUGUAUGUAUGUGCUUUCGACUAUAAAUUAUGUUUAGUUUGGAUUUUUAGUUGUUUCCCACCAUAUGCAUGCGGAAAGUAAAUCGAUUUGAUAAUUUUUAGUACUAACAUAACACUAAGUAAAAUUAACUUUAUUUNNNNNNNNNNNNNNNNNNNNNNNNNNNNNNNNNNNNNNNNNNNNNNNNNNNNNNNNNNNNNNNNNNNNNNNNUUAGCUAUUUUUAACAUGCAUAUCAAAUAUUAGCCGAUUUAAAAAAAUUGAAAUUUUUUUCUGAAAAUAUUCAAUUUUCAAAAUAUAUAGCACAUAAAAAUCAAUAAUUUUAACAUAAAAUUUUUUUAAAAAAAUUGAUUAUGUAUUUUGAAAAUUGUUAAAAACUAAAGUUUAGCCAUAUUAAAUUUUUCAAAUAAAAUUAAUAAAUAUUUUUUUAAGUGUUUUAAAUGGUUGCUAUUAUUGGGAUGUACUGGCUAUAGAAAGCCCAUUAAUGUGACAUUGUGCUUAUUACGGAGCAAUGAUUAUGGCAACAUCUUCAGGCCUACCUCCUCUUCAAUCCGUCUGCAAGCCCACCAACGCCACCGUCGCCGGCGGCCGGUCUCUCGACGCUCACGCACGUCUUCUCUGGCGCUCGAUCGUCUUCUCGGCCGCUUAAACCAAUGCACGAGCAUAUCUCAGCUGAAGCAAGUCCACGCCCAGACUCUACGUUUUUCCUCUUCACGAUCCAACAAUCCCAAAACCCUCUUCCUGCAGAGUCGACUUCUCCACUUCACUUCUCUCAACGACCUCGAUUACGCCCACAAAUUGUUCCAGCAAAUCGAAAGCCCCAACUCCUUCAUGUGGAACACUCUAAUCAGAGCCUAUGCGCGGAGCAACGACCGUAAAGACCAUGCAUUCAUGGUGUUCCAGAAAAUGCUGCUGAGAGGAACGGAGGUAACUCCGGAUAACCAUACGUUCCCGUUCGUUUUGAAGGCGUGCUCGUAUCUGUUCGCCUUGUCGGAAGGGAAACAAGCUCACGGACAGCUUGUGAAGCGUGGGUUGGAAUCGGAUCCUUAUAUAGGUAACAGCUUGAUUCAUUUCUACGGUUCUUGUUGCUACUUGGAAAUGGCUAGGAAGGUGUUCGAUAAAAUGCAUGAAAGAACCGUGGUCUCGUGGAACGCUAUGAUUGAUAGUUUUGUCAGGUUGGGUGAGUACCAAACUGCUUUGGAGUUCUUUGUUCAGCUCCAACAGGGAUCGUUUGAGCCGGAUGGAUAUGCGAUUCAAAGCGUGUUGAAUGCUUGUGGUGGGUUGAGUGCUUUGUCUUUGGGAAUGUGGGUUCAUGCUUAUAUAUUGAGGAGCUCUGGUUUGGAUUUAGCUAGAGAUGUUUUGGUAAACAAUUCUUUGGUUGACAUGUACUGCAAAUGCGGGGCGUUGGAAAUGGCGAUGCAAGUUUUCGAGAGGAUGGAGAAUCGUGAUCUGGCUUCGUGGAACUCCAUGAUUCUAGGAUUCGCUAUGCACGGUAAGAGUGAGCUAGCCUUGGAAUAUUUCGAUACCAUGGCGAACAAAGAGAGGAUUCUUCCGAAUUCGGUCACGUUUGUGGGUGUUCUGAGCGCUUGUAAUGAUGGGAAUGAUGGGAGGAAGUAUUUCGAUUUGAUGGUUAACGAGUACGAAAUCGAACCUCGGUUAGAACACUACGGUUGCCUAGUUGACAUUCUUGCUCGCGCUGGCUUGAUCGACGAAGCCUUGGAUUUGAUUUCAACCAUGGACAUGAAACCUGAUGCCGUUAUAUGGAGGAGUCUUCUUGACGCUUGCUGUAGGAAUAAUGCGAGCGUCAAGCUAAGCGAAGAGAUGGCUUCGCGGAUACUCCUCGAGUCGGGGGGAGGAGGAAGCGAUUGUAGCGGCGUUUACGUACUGUUGUCGAAAGUCUAUAUAUCAGCUAGUAGAUGGAACGAUGUCGGGGUUAUCAGGAAACUGAUGGCUGAUAAAGGAAUAGCAAAACAGCCCGGCUGCAGUUUGAUCGAGAUCGACGGGGUCACGCACGAAUUAUUCGCUGGAGACACAUCUCAUCCUCGAACGAAACACAUUUACGAAGCUCUCAAAGUCAUUGAAGAGAGACUAGAAUCUGCAGGAUACACUCCUGACAGUUCGCAAGCAACCGAGCAGGAUGAUGAUGGCAAACAGAGCUCGUUAAGAUUGCACAGCGAGCGGCUCGCCAUUGCUUUGGGGCUCAUAAGCAUGAAACCGGGAACGCCAAUUCGCAUCUUCAAGAACCUACGAGUCUGCAACGACUGCCACCGGGUGACUAAACUGGUAUCGAAAAUCUUCGACGUGGAGAUCAUAGUCCGGGACAGGGCUCGGUUCCAUCACUUCAAGGACGGGUCAUGUUCGUGUAUGGAUUACUGGUGAUCGUAGUUGGUCAUCGUGCCCUGCUGUGUAAGUAAAGUCGUUUUCAAGGUAUGUUGUUGUCAGAUGUAACAUCUUAGGAACGUUUGUGUGGAUAUGGUUCUGUUGGCAGACAACAAUUGUCUGUAAGCUACAACUACCAAGCGUAAUAUAGGAGUGUUAAUCUAUAAGCCAACUACUUCCAAAAGCAAUGCAGUUAACCAAACUGUUAGUGAGGUUUUAAAUAUAAUAUUUAUGGAUCGUACCAACUGUUUCUGGUAACAUCUUGCCAUAUUAGGCCACCUGAAACCAAUCAUUUCCCGUCGAAACAAAGCAGCUGGCUCUUUUCUGGUAAUGUUUAAUUCCAACUUGUGUGUCACUGUCAAGUUUGUUACCCAGAAUAUGCAAAUAAUGGGUUCUACACAUUCGGUUUCGUCUGUUAACAACGAAAUGAGCGGAACAUUCUGAGCAGAAACGAUCCGCUCGUCAGUUAUCAACUGGCUUCUGCAGACCCAAGAACUUCAAAAACAUUCAAUUCAGCUCCCAACUCAUCAUCAUAGCCAGAAAACUAACUUCAAGCAGCCAACUUUAGGCCUAUUCGUGAUAUGUAUAGUUUUUGAUUAGGAGGAAUUUCCGAGCCAAGUAAACCAAGGAGGUUAAUCUUUAUAUAAAUCCAAACCAGAUGAACAAUGGGGAGAGGAAAAGAACAUACAAUCUCCAUGAAAGUUACCUCCAAAGAAAAACUUCCUCUGAAAUCUGGGGUCUCUCUACAGUUUUACAACAGAGAACCAAGUUGAUAGAACCAGUCCCUCCCUUUUUUGCCCUCUCUACAUGAACAAAUCUCGAAUUUGCAACGAACAAACAGCGACCGAUAUCAGUACAGCGCAACAUAAUCUAAUGAACUGCUGCAAUAUGGCAACUGCCAAGUACUAAUGCUUCUUCAACUCUUCAGUCUUCUCUUGAUUCUUGUACAUUCAAUGCUUUCUGGUAUAACCAGUACUCUAUACAUAAUGUCACAUACGAGAUACUAACAAGAUAAGCCCCCAACCAUUCACAAGAGUCCUUGCUUUGAUAACUCUUUAGCCACUGAAAAUCAAACAGAACCACAACUUAAGACACUAAACUCUCCAUGAACAAACAACAGUAAACAAUAAAAGAAUGUACCUUCGGAAGAUGAAGGGACAACGACGACAUGCAUGUCGGAGUUGUUAGGAGGGAGCUGCAAUCUCAGAGGGUAAAGCUUGCCAUUCAAAGGACUCUUGGAACACACAACUAUACCUUCUUCAGAAAAACCAGUCACUUCUUUCAACUUCUCAGUCAACCCUUCAACUCCAUUCCCUUUGAAGUUCAUCGAAUAUCCUUCCGCCACGUCAUCAUCCUCCCAUCCCUCCUCCGCCACGUGGUAGUAUAUCGUCCUCCCCUCAGCCAUCUUCGGCGGCGACCCACCAUUCGACUGCAAUAUUUCAAAUUCAAAGACUCAAACUGUGACCUCGAAAUCAAACCCAAAGGCGAUAACUUUUUACAAAAUAGAAAACCCCAUACCUCUAAUCUCGAAACAUUGCUGGGUGGGACGGAAUCGGAAGAAACUGACCCGAGAGAAUCCGAGUGAGGAAGCGGCGGCGGGGAGGGCUUGGCCGCCGGAGAAAGCACCUGAAUCUCGACGACGUCGAUGUCCCAGAGGAUCCAGUCCUGGGUGGCGGUCCGGUGAGGGAUGUCGUGGGUGACGGAGUUUCUCCACGGCGGCAACCCGCCGUUAGGUCUGUGGAAGGUUUCGGGUCCGGGUCGGGACUUUACUCGGGGGUCGCCCCNNNNNNNNNNNNNNNNNNNNNNNNNNNNNNNNNNNNNNNNNNNNNNNNNNNNNNNNNNNNNNNNNNNNNNNNNNNNNNNNNNNNNNNNNUGGGAGGUGCGUGUCUUCCGCCGGGCCCCCACCCCGCCGUUAGCUCUGAGGAAGUUUCCGUACCGGGUUCGGAGCUUGAUCUGGGCGCCUCCCCGGACGGGCUCCCACUCGACGGAGGAGUCGAGACGGCGAGGGGAAGUCUGGAGGACCUUCCGGCCGGUCAUCCCCAACAGGAAAUGAUGAUCGGAAGCC
rnacentral:lncRNA from 1 species